AUCACAUCCUCUUUUGGAGCUGCAGACACUGGGGCUCUCCACUCUCUCCUCUCCUCUCACCAUCAGGACCUGCCAUUGGAUUCCAUUCAAAAAAAAAAAAAAAACUCAAUCUCCCCUCAAUCCCUCCACCCCUACCUUUGGAUUUUUCUCUACUUUUUUUUUUAGUCUUCCUUAUUACUUCACCUGCCAACUGCCGGCCACCCCCACCCUCAUCGUUUUUCAAAAGGUGGGAACUCUUUGGUGGCAUUUAUCUUUUCUUUCACUUUUUAAGACGAUGAAGAGAGAAAAAGCCGACCUGAUCGUGGGGGUGCUCGUGGUCAGGGAGCACACACCUCUUCUCCUUGCUUACUUUCUUCCUUUUUUCUUUUUGUUCCUUUUCCUCCCUCCUGACUGCCUCUCUGUGGAUAUCCUUCCUGAUUCUGUACAUGCAAAUGAUACGAGGAAGGAGGGAGAAGAUGGGGGGCGGGUGGGAAGGAGGGGAGGGCUCCUUCCCCUCCUCCUUAUCUUCUUCCUUUUUUUUUCCCUGGGUGGAGCAGAAGUGGUCUGGCGAACCGACGCACGCUGAGAAAUCCUGGGCAUGGGGUCUCAUUAGGUAAGCAGAGGCCAGGGCAGCAGGGCUUCACCCAGACACUGAUUAUUCUGAGAGCGAUAUCUGGAGGAUCACCUUGGCUAUACACCUGAUUAGAGCUCUUGACUCUCAGAGUUUAGAACCUCUUUGACUCCUGAAAAUGAAUUAAUCUUGUCUGUUGUGUGGAGGUGGUAGAGAUGUGAAAUUUAGUGCACUUUAAGGUGCUAUUUUCUUCUUAUUUAAGCAUUUUCUGGUUGGAUUAUUUUUAUUCAGAGCUUUGUUUUUCUUCUCUCAAAUCAAACCUGCUCUAUUCUGGCGAGGCCUUCUUGUUUCACUUAUCCAAAGACUAAAUAUGUUUUCCACCUCUUUGAUAGAUGCACUUAUUGUCUAUUUACUUGAAUUCAGUUUAUAACAGAAUGAAUGACUUUACCCUGGUUUUGGAGCAUCAUGAGAUUACCGAAUAGAUCAUCCUUAUAUGCAUGCAGCCCACUCAUAAAAAUUGAUGACACGAAGCCCAGCUCAUGAUAGGCAGCGGUUGCACGCAUAAUAUAAUGUUGAGUCCUCUACAUGGUAAUCUGAUCUGAGAGGGAUUCAAUUAUUUAAUAAAAACACGACAGACUAUCAUUAAAACAAAUUGUGUGUGUCAACGCCAGCACACAGUCUGCGCUGCGAGGUCACAGGUGUAAUGUUGUGUUUUGAAGUCUUGAUCCCUCCCACACACACUCGCACAGACGUAAUCUCUGUGCACUGGUUCUCCUCUUAUGAAUUGGCUGAAUUGAUCCUCAUACAAAUUAGGUCUGUCCUCAAAGGGCUCCAUCAAUACAUUGACUCCUUUUAUGAGGGUCAUCAAACAGCCAUUACUGGGCAUCAGGGGGUCCCGUUUGGGGAGAGACUGCCCAGGGUGACUGAUGAGCCGGGUGGGGAUGGGAGCUCGUCUGGGGGCCUCGGAGCUGUGGGCCUGUAACAGAGAAGCAAGGGGAGGGGGUUGCUUAUUGAGUGUUAGAUUCAUCAGUUAAGCAAAGCCAAAUUAAUUUGCUCGACAACAGAGCUGCUUUAAAAUAAAACCCUUCAGUUAGUUUUCUGUUCUGGAAAACCUCAAACAUUUUAAUCUUUGUAAUACUUACAACAUUUUAUUUAUCCAUCUGGAAGCUCUGAAACAGAUUGAGCAUGUUAUCCUCUCUCUGUUUAAUGAGGGGGAUUUCAGAUUUCUGGUACAAGGGGAGGUACACAUGUACGGAGUUUAUUGUUGUCCAUUAAUGUGCAAUUUGGCAGCACAAAUUACCAGAAAAGUAGGAGUAAAACAAAUUUGCUGCUGCACUACGAUCUAAACUGCAUCAUUUAAAAGCCCCAGUUAUCUAUCUUGUCUGAUCAGGCUGUGUGAUUGGCUCUCUCAGAGCUUAAUCAUGUCAUCUCUUACUAUUCUUGUCUGUAUUGUCAAUAUAAGUGAAUGCCUUGAAUACAGAAAUAAUUACCCAUUUUGUAUUUCCAAAUAAAGAGGCUGUCCUUUUCUUGAUCCCACGAACAAGAUCGAAAAAAAAUUAAACAAACAAAACGCUUUGAGUGUCUGGUAUUAUACUCAUUACAAGAGAAAAUCAUGUUGAAAUAUGAAAAAUAGACAAGCAGGGUGAAAAAAAAAAAAAAAACCUGCAGUAUUCCCAAAGGAUGCUCUCAGGUGUUACGAAAGAUUCCUUUAAACUGAGUACAGACACAGCAGGAUGUAAACAAACUGUCACUGCUGUCAAACACUCGCUUCACAGAGUGUCAAAAGUUCAGACUUUUCAAUUACAGCAGCUUUAGUAUGCACGCACGCCUCCCCUGACUGAUUAAAAUGCACCAUUUUAAGUCUAAUUGUUCGAGAAAACUCUGUUUUAUGUUGCUGCAAUGGUAAUAACUAAUGAUAGAUGCAUAAAAUUAGCAUACAUUUCCCAGACCAAGAGAAUAUCUGAUCAUUGUGCCAUGGAGAAUUGCUCUAAGUUAGGAAGUUAAUUUCAUUAUCUCCUCCUCCUCAUUUAAAGCGCGCCACUUUACAAUAAUUGGAAAACAGAAUAAAAGAUUAGCUUUUGACUGGGUGACGGGCGUUAAUAAAGUGUGAUGGAAUGUGAGUGUUACAGAGCGGGUACCAAUUACAGCAGCCAAUCUCCGACAGGCAGCCAUUGAUGGUGGUGGUUCAAUCUCUUCAUCUGGCGUACAGUACCAUCAGGGACCCUCUGCAGAGACCUCUGCUCCAGAUAGCAGGCUAAUUGUCAAUUCUGCUUAAGUCAUAAGGAGAGCUAUUUUACCAGGGCUUUGGAGGGGAAGUGAGCUGCAAAAUUAAAGUGGAAAAAAGUGAAAGUGUAGCAUAAAUGUGGAAAUAAAGUUCAGAGAGGAGAAACUCAGAGAGAUUUUUAUGGAACCAUUUGGGUUUGAUGAUAUGAAAAAAAAAUGUCUUAUGGAAAAAAAAAAAUCUGCAAGGAGAAUGAUAUUAAACUCAGCUUUAUGAAAUGUGGUGCAACCUGCCUGUUGAACUAGUUGAACUGCUAAAGUCAAGUCAGUCUUUUCUCAGUGAAGUUACCAUCGUCCACAGUAGUGUUCAAAAUGUGAUAAUUUUAAUUAUUUUCCUAAUUGUUUGCAAAGGGUUGAAAAGAAAGAAUACAUGAUGGUUUAAUAUCUAAUUAUCUUAGUUCAUCCACACUCGGAGGUGCCACAAUCUAUCAAACCCCUGUUAAAAAAAACAGCCAUUUUAAAAAGACAUUUUUUCCUCUUGAGGUCAGACCUGAUCGAGUUUGUAUUCUUACUGUUUCACCAAUCUGCGUUAUAAUGUUGAACUUUAAACCAAAUUAUGACCUAUUAUUGUUAACAAGUAGGUAUUUGUCUUUUUCAUACCAUUGGGGUGUCUGGUAUUAUACUCACCAGCUCUGCUGCUGUUGCCUGGAUUGCAGGACACGAUGUUUUUACAGCUUUCAGAGGUUGUUAGGUCCAAGAAGCUCCUCAGGCAGCUUUCACAUCUGGGCCCAGUGACCUCCAUUAUUUCAUGGUUCUUGGUACCACUGGGAAGCAAAGACUUACAUUUUUGCAACAAUAUUUCUUUGUGUAGAAUGAUACGGGAAAUAAGCCACCGUUUUUGCCCCAGUGUCAACAGACAGAGGUAAGAUGUGCAGGACUCCUUUGUGUGGAUUGAUUUAAUUUCACAUAUGUGAGCAGGUUGUCCUUGGUGUCACAAAACUACCUGUGUCCUGGGGGUUUGACCAAUCAGAAUCAUGUAUUUAACACCCUUGAGCAAUAAACUACUGUAGUUAACCUCUGAUCAUGAUCAUCUUGAUUGACAAUAGGUUCUAGCCUGGCCUAAGAAAAUACAUUAUCCCAUCUUACAUUAGUGUUUAUUGAAACAUUUUGCAAACUGAGGCCCCAAUAGAAUAGAAACGGAACAGAAUUAGUAACAAUGACAAAAUAUGACAGUUUGUUUAGAGUCUUGGACUUUUGUUGUCCAUCCUUUUAAUGCAGGGAAGUGUUCCUUUUGCAGUUUGAGGUUUCUGUCCAUUCAAGGCAAGUUUUUCUUUGUCACUGAUGGCUGAGUGGCUGCUCAUGCUGGAUUGAUGUUUGGCCUCUCUAAAUAUAAUUACUACACUCAAGCUGUGCUCUCUAAAGAAAGAGGUAUGAAAUGACUUAACUUGUGAUUGAAUGCUAUUUUCAAGAAUAAGUGGUUGAUAGAGCUCAAAGAGAGAGCUGUUUCCAGUAUGUGGGUUCCUAUUUUCUUGUGUAAGGAGCCACUGUUGUACAAAACAGAUUAUCUUCAUAUUUACUAUAUUAAUUUUUUUAAACCCGGUGACAUAAAGUCUAUCAUCUGUUCCAACCAUCAUUUAUUUCCCUUCACUUCUUUAAUUGAACAUAAUCAAACCUGUAAGUAGGACAUAAUGGCAGGCACCUGCAGCUCUGUUCAUGCUCAUAGGUAGGCACACACACACACAAACACAGAGGAUCCAGUCUAAUCAAAAAUGAUGUGCUGGCCCCUUUGUUGUCAAAGUCUUCAUACUGAAAUCGCAUAUUCAUGGGGGUGUAUUUAAGCCUUUUCUGCUGGCAUAAGCAUGCAGCAAAGCAGCACGGCACUGCUGUGACUGUCGCUCUCUGCUGUUCUCUUUGCCACUUAACCUACCUCUGUGUUUGAGAACCUUGCUUUUUGAUGCCGUGAUCUGCAUCUCAGCCCUAUCCCAGUUAAGUCUUCAGGUGGCUCGGAGGCCUUUUGUAACACAAGCCGCCCCUUGAUCAUCCACUAAACAGCAAGUUUGCAGUUAUUCAUUGAUGUGAUUUUGUUGUGGAGUGGCAGUGGACAAACUGAACUGCUUUGAAUUAGUGCAACGCUGCUGCUGCUGCUACUGCUGCUGCAGCAGUGGUGAAGUGAGGUUUGCUGCAGAUGUUGAGUGCAGCUGUUUUCUCACUUUAACAAUACAGAGCAAGCUUCAAACGCACUAACCAGCCUGCUCACUUGAACUCAGACAUCUAUUUUUUAUCAUGUCUCCAGACUUCUGCUCCUUUAUUUUAGCCAACACCCAUCAAAUGCUUGCAUCAUGAAAUUCAAAAUAUCUGCGACUUUACCAAAAAAAACACAGAAUAUUGUGCAACAUUUUCAGAACCUCACUGAAGAGUAUUUGUGAUAAAUUGGCAGCUUGUAUCAAGUAAAAUGAUAAAUGAUACUCAUACAUCUCUAAAUUAAAGAUGUCUUUGUUCAUAUGAAAUAACUCACCAUGGAUUCAUGGCCUUAAUGUGUUCAUCCUCUUUGUUUCAACAUGUAAUAUCAGUGAUGUUACCAUGGUUACAUGUUCAUUUUUUUCACACAGGAGUUGAAAUUGUUGUAUUAUACUGACCGUAUAAGUCUUUGGUCAUUUACCCAUGAUGCCAUGAGUGGGGUUGGAAGCUUUCAUGCUGUUAUCGUAUCAUUCUGUUGCAUUGCUGAUUGUAAGCUUGAUGAUUUUCUUUAUGGCCUUAACAACUUAACAGAAUCUGAAGAGAACUUUGAAAAGAAACCUGGCUACAUGUCAAAUGAAAGGUUUAUGAACUUCAGUAAACAUGUUAAAUGGGUGUAAAAAAACGGAUCCAGAGUUUUCAGCAGGAGGGAGAGGGAGAUGUGUUAAAAUGGGUAAAACCCUCUUUUCUUUAACUUUGUUUGGUUAAAUUAGAGAAUCUCUGUAUGUACCUCUAAGUUGCAGAACCAGACAAACAAAUCUCUUCACCCUUGAAAUCAUGAGGUUUUGUUUCCAGGGCGAGGAAUUAUCCUCCUGCUGUCAAGCCUCUUUGAUCCUCCGUAAGUUCAACAUCCCCUGUUUCCAUUAAAUCUUGUCUUUGGAAGAGCUGCCAAUGACAUGACAGCUUUUCACAAGUCAUCUCCCACACCUGCAGGACCAGGUCCUUACACCCCAACACAAACACACACACACACCACCACAGACCCUGUGAGUUUUUGAGAUUAAUACCUGUUUUUUGUGGAGUAACUGCAGAUUGUCGUUACUUUUUGUUAUUGCUUUUAAGUUUAUUUGCUUUAAAAUAAUUGCAAACCAUUUCAUUGCAAAAGAUGGACGAAAAACCUCAUUGUCUUCUCUCGGCGCAAAACCUCGUUGAAACUGAUUUUGGAUGAGAUUUUAGUGGUCAGUAAAUCUGAUGAAGAAUAUAUGAAAUUAACUGCUUUUGUCUUUCACCCAUAUUAGCAAAGGAAAUGAUGUCGAUAAAAAAGUUCCCACUGAAAUGAUGUAAUAACAGGGCUUGAAAUUAACUUUUUAUACUGGGAAGCACUAAUGCUCACACUUUAAAAAGUUAAGAGCCCUACAACUGCAACAUACGUAUUAGGAUUUCUUUUAUUUAAAACAAAGCCAUAUUUCUGCUAUUUCAUCGAGAGCACUGGCAGCAUCCUGACAAAUGACAGCUGAACAUCCCCAUCUGGUUUUGUAUCCUUUCUCGCCACACACUUCUCCUGGUGUUUCUCGUGUUUGCCACUCUUUCCGUGUAGUCAGGCUCUUACCUUGAAAAUACAUGGAUUUCGUGGAGAGUGGAGCACAUCUGACCCACAGGCUUUACAGUGAGGGCAGUGCAUUGUGCCAUUUUCUAAGUGGAGCCAUUCAAAUCUUUGAGCCGCUCCCUCAAAUAAACAUAGGCCUUCUUUGCUUCUGCUGCUGCUGCAUCCACAUUUAACACAUUACAGCCAACAGCACCGUUAAGAGUCACAUUUUUAGUAAUGUUAGGCGGCUUAAAAAAAGAAAUCCUCCAGUGUUGUACUAAUCUUCUCAGCUCUUUUGAUUUAUGUCUAGUUAGAUCUGUGUCAUGUGACAAUAAAGCAUGGUCACUAUUUUUCAUACUGAAUAAAAUUCUAGGAAACAUAUAUAGAUUAACUGUGUCAGCUAAAACCUUUUAUCAGCUCCACUUGAACGUAAUACUUUGUUGCCAAAUAAGUGGCUUACUGGUUUCUCUGUAUCCAGAAGUCAUGGCUUCAUCAGGAGUAAGCUCGUUCAUGUUAGGAAUGGGGAAGCACCAGCUGCACGGGUAUGACUUUUAACCCAAAAUUGAAACUUUUGAAGUAGUUUAAAAUAAAUAUUGAUGAAGAGAUAUUACUUUGCAGGGCUUGACACUAACUUUUUUCUUAAGGAGCACGAUGAAAAUUGAUCAAAUCAUGUGAGUCUUAUUGGUCGACUUAAGUACUAUCAUUUGAAAUCAAUUUUAGGAAAGUUGGUCACAUGACAUGGAAGCUAUUGAAGUAAAGAUUCAAAAUUUGCCUUUAAAUUUAACACAUUUUUUUAGAGGACAAAUUAUGGAAAUAAAGAGGUGUGUCUCAUUGUCCAACCUUAGUGCUCUUAUUUGAAAUCAAUUUUAAGUCAAUUGGUCACAUGAGAUGGAAGCUAUUGAAAGCAAACAGCCUUUUUUUAGAACAUCAACCGGUAAUUUAUUGGUGGUCCAAUAUCUUAUUCAACACCCAACGUUGACAGCGAGGUUGCUGAGUAGAUUUAACAUUUUACAAUUUGCACACUUCUAUUUUAAGUCGCAAAUGCAAGUGAAACGGUCGCACUGUCGAGCCCUGCUUUGACAAUGUGAUUUUUGUUUAAUGUCUGAAAUGUAAAAUUCAUUAUUAUAAUUGGAAUGUUUGCUCUUUUAUUUAUUCACUUUUUUUAGUUGUUAAUUUAUCAAUAAGUCACGCACAAAAAGAUGCUCAUCCUACAAAGACGGGAAAAAGCAUCAACAGAAUGAGAGCAAAGGAACUGUUUCCAAUCAUUACAAGUCAGUCCAUUUCAAAUUAAUAAUGAACACAAACCAUCCUGAUUGAAGGUACUAACUCUACCUUUAACCCAUCAGACUUACAGAGCUGCUCUAGGCCUGUUGGCAGGCACUUAAAAGGAUGCACUAACACCGUCUCUUAAACUCCUUUUGGUAUCAAAUGAAGUGUAGAGUCAAAAGAUUUUAAUCAUCCACCAGUCGUUUAUAGUAAAACAGGUUAAGUGACCAGUAUACAGACUGGAUAAAGUUACGUAUAACUCCUGCCCUAGAACUGAACUUCCACAUAAAGGGAAUACAAAACUUGUUAAACUCAUCUUAAAUGAUGCUAUACACAUGAUGUAUUUGUAUGUACAUGUGCAAAGCAAUUUGUAAUUCACCCGAAUGAGCCACACCAUGAAUUACCUUAAUUAGAAACACCCCCCUAAGCUCUUUUUAUUGAUCGCCCAGCGUGCUAAAUCAAAAGUAAUGUUGGACAGUUACCCGAGAAUGCCUUUGCUGAUUAAUCAGACUCUGCUCAAUCAUUUCUCUUUUAAACUAUUUCCUCUUCUUUUUAACACGUCUCCUCUUCACCCCAGCGUUUUUGUAUUUUUAAUUUUCAUUUCCCAGCGCCUUAUUUGAUGUUUUGUAACUUUUCAUGUGUUGCCAGUGGAUUGCUGACUUAAAAAAGACGAUGCUUCCCUUCCAGGGUGGCAAGGGUCUAUAUGCAUAUGAAUAUUUUCCAUUGAUGAAUAUGAUACACGGCUGCCGCGCCUUUGAUAGUCUCCUGCUCGGGUCCUGUGUGAUGUCAUAAUGUGGGGACGCCGACCCUGGGCAAAACAUCCCAAUGCACAGCAGAGAGGAGCAAACAUAAGAGCCCUUUGACGUCUUCUGUGUUUAAUAUUACACGACUGUUUACUGGUUCUGGUGUCCAACCGGGAGUCCAAAUAUGUUUAAGGUCAAGCCAUCUCAAUUCCUCUUCAGUCAACUUCAGGAUCUUUGAUCACUUGUUGUUUUUGACUGUGCUGUGUUCAAUCGUGGCCAGGUCUUUAUAAUGCAUGAGGACAUUACAUAGUUAUGAACAGCUUGGCAGGCGAGUCAAGGCAGUGAUGGAACUUGUUAGACACUUUCUGAAAGAACUUCUUCAGCGUACCUUAAGGUUAAGGAAUAGUUAGACUUUUGAGAGUAACCCAACUCACUUUCUCGCUAAAACUUAGAUGAGAAGUUUUUUUACCGCUCGAGCAUCUUAAACCACUCCAGGAAGUCACUGCCUAUGGCUAAUACACCUCAAUGUUUUUAUUUUUACACCCAGAUUUGUACGGAUUUAAUAACAAAAAUAUGAUGUGUUAAAAUGUGAACUUCAGGAGUGCUGGUACGUUGAAUUUAUGUUAAUUUUUUACACAGAGGGUGAAAUGUCAGUUUAUGAAAAUAGCCGGGCAUGUGUAAACGUAGUCUCAAUCUGCUUUCUCUGUGAUGCUGCAGUGGGGCGUACAUGUUUACAUUUUACAGCCAUGUACAGUCUGCAAACUUCUCUUGUUCUAAAUCUAACAUUGCUUCACCCUGUAGCAAACUUCAUGGAAGUUGUCCUCUUCUUUUCAUACACAAUGAAGUAAGCAUGCGUUUUCCUUUUUCAGUGUAGUGGGCAUUUUUCUUCCUCUGUGGUUUAGUGAGGCUACCUUACAGCUCUCAGGUGCACUGUAGCCACCAUCCUGCAAGAGAGGACCGCAUCACGACCAGGCACAGAUUAAACUGUGGAAAAUGUUUUUUUUUCAAUAAUAAUAUCUUCUAUUACCUUGAAGUUUUGAUAAGUAGUGAUUUAUGAUCUAGAAGCAUUUAUUUCAGAUCUAUGUUACAUUUGCACCUCUCAACAUUUCUAUCUCUUCUAAAGUUCUGCACAUUGAAGUUUGAUCCCAAACAUGCUACAUUUGGUUUACAUGAAUAAAAGCAAAAAAACAACACUUUGUCUCAAAUUUAGUCCAAAGACACAGAAUACAACAUACAGUAUAGAGGUUGAAGGGAAUUAUGAGUAAGAAACCACAGGAAUAAAGCUGCAGAAAGAGUUAAAAGAAGUUAUUUGUGAAAUAGAAAGUUCAGUUUAUCUGAGAGUGAGAGAGGACCUCUUCCCAGAGACAAAAACACUUGUUGAUCGGAGAGAGUUUAAUGGCAUCUAUGGACCAAAGAACUGCAUCAUGAUUGAACAGGGAUUUCUUUUUUCAGCGAGGGGAAGCAUGGCUUUCUAAAACAUGAGCUGUUGUUGUUACUUUUCUUUUAAAUGUACUUUUUAAAGUUACAAACAAAGGCAGUAGUCAUCUCAGUGCGCUGUGAUGUUCAACACGAUGCUCAUUUAUCGUAGAUCAUUGUAACAGAUGUUUAUUCAGCAUGUGUUUUUAAAUAAAGUCUCUGCUUCAAAUCCUCACGUACUUUUAUCCCCGAGAGACCAACUUAGACAAACAAGUCUUCUUUUCCCAGGUCUUCCCAGUCUUAUCAUAAGGUAAACUGUCUUAUAAAGUAAAAUUAUUUACUGAUAAUAAAAGCCAAACAAGAAGUACCGAAUCUUUCAUGUUCACACAGGGUUACAAAUAUCAACUUCACCCAAAUCCUAAAAAUAGAACUUUCCUCUCUCACUUAGCAAAGAGAGGCCUGUGCAGCUACAAACAUUACCUGCUAAUGUACCAUAACUCAUUUUUAACUGGAAGUCUGCACUUUAUGGACACUUACUGUUGUCUUACAUAAAAAUCCACCAUUUUAGGCCUUUUUAUAUGUUCAAAUCUGAGCAGAAACUUAUUUUUACUCUUUUGUCUGAUAUGAUGUUUAGACUUUUAGUAAGCCUUACAUUUUUUUGCAGUUAAGGUGCAAAAGCCUUUGCAAGCGAGAAGCCUGUAUACUGUUUUGAAAAACGUUGCAGGUGUUGAAACGAUCUAACAAAGUGUGCUGCCGGUGGAGGCGGGAGGAAGUGAAGGGAAGCUAUCGAACUUGUGUCCUGGUUUCCCUACUAGAUAAUGAUCUCUUGAAAGUGUGUGUUUUUUCCUCUUCUUCCAGUAACUGCGUGCACGAGAUGAAAGAUAGUUCCGGGGCUAGUGCACCGGCGCACAUCUGACUGAGGCAGGUGUUAGAAAUGUAGAUGGCUGGCGGAGACUAAAGACAAUACAAAUUUGAAGUGAAAACGCUACUGGCACGCCUCCUCUGUUCUUAACACGUGAAGCCCCAGGCCGAUCAAUUAUUCAUCCUAUUGUGCGUGCGCGUGGCACACUGUUAGUUCUGUAGUCGGAGAGGAGGUGUCUGUUGCACUUAAAGAGUGAGCACCGCGUCGCUCGGCAGGCCCAGGUCUGUCAGCCUGUCUCUGUCUGUCUCUCUCUGCCUCUUGCGCUCGCACACAUACACACAUGCACACACACGUAAAAAAAAAAAAAAAAAAAAAAGCCCUUGUUCUGCCUGAGCCUUUUUAAUGAUGGGAUCAGGGGCGAGAAUUGGUGGCUAAAGUGCAGCUCCAGUUGUUUGAAAAGAGGAGAAAAAGAAAGAGAAACAUAGAGCUAGAAGAGUGGGAAAGAGAGAAAGAUUGGGUGGGAGGAGGUUGCAGGGAGGGGUGGGGUGGGGGGCCUGCUUUGUACACUGGGGGUAUUUUUCAAAGCAGUGCAGACUUGAAGCCAUUGGGAGGCUCCUUUGACUUUAAUCUUGGCUGCUUCUUUGAAAAUUAUGACCGAGGACCACGGUUGCUUCAUUAAAAGACAUGUUCUGUUUCUUGUGUAGUUUCAGCCAGAUUUUUCUUUUUGUGUGAGUGAUGCUGAUUUCAGCUUUCCACCCCUCGGUGCUUCCGGAGGCCUCCUGAGCACCUUGCAGUGUUAAGGGCCACUCACUUUGGAUGUGUGUAUGUAAAUAGAGUGGUGAAUCUCAACUGAGGAGCAGACACACUUGAUUUCCUCUCACCUCCUGAAAUAACCACUUCACCGGGCCAUACUCUACAUGGUCUGUAUCUUCAAGCUAUUGUCCCUGUUAAAUGCUGCUCUGUUAUUGUGCUACCCUCUUUUAUCUGAAAACGAACUAAUGAGAGAAGAUCUUGUUCUCUAGUUGCUUGUAAGUGGGUAGUAAGUGUGGUGUGUUAAGUUCUGUGUAAAUUUGGAAACGGCUCGCUUUUAAAAACUAAACCAAAUGUCUGUCCGAAAAUUACACUUUGUGCAUGAUCAUGGACCAAAGACAGAGGUAAAUAUCCUCAAAGACGCACCUAUACUUCACCAGAAUAAAAUGUCAUUACAAGGGUAUCUCCAUCAACCUCUAAUACAGCCUUUUGUUUCUAUUUAAGUUUGGUUGUGAAUAUGUGUAAGCUUGAAUUUGACAGAACAGAUAAUGAUGUAUUAGAUAUUGGAAUGAUUGGCUUAUAUUUGGUUAAUGUAUAAGGUAUUGUUUACAUUUGGUAGAUCAUAGGGAAUUGGCUGAGGUCUGGUUGUGUAAAACCUUGUGAUGGUGUAAAUCUGAUAGGGGUUAACAGGUGUAAAUAGCCCAAAUUUGAUCAGGUGAAUUGGGUUCUGACUCACAUUUGGUGGUGCGUAUCAGGCUUUGGCUAAGAUUAGGUCAGGCAAAAAACAGAUGUUUGCUUCAAGCUGAUAGAGCAUGCUAGGUGUUGGUAUAGAUAUGGUGGGCUGAAUCAGGUCUUGGCUUAAUUUAGUUAUGCGUCAGGUAUUGGCAACAGUUGUUGGCUUGGCUUGUGUAGGGUUUAUUAGAUAUUAUCUUAAAUUUGGUAGGAUGAAUAGGUUUUGGCCAGAUACUGGUUGGGCAUAUUAUGUAUUUGUAUUAAAUUUGUAUUCAAAUUUGGUAUGGCACACUAGGUAUUGCCUUUUUAUCACUAAAUUAAAACAAGGUGCAAUUUUGACAACAAAAAUGUUCAUUUUUUUCAGAGAAUACACCUUUAAGCUACUCACACAUGUAGACUCUUUCUUUUGUACCCUAACUGGUUUUGUACCACAACUCUAACACAAAAAAGGUCACUGCUUCAGUCUCUCUUUCUAAUCUGAGACACACAAACACCCCCACACAUGCACACAUCAUAUAUACUGUAGAUUAGAUCCAGUGGCAGGAGGAAAUGAAGGUAGAGAGAUGAGACCUGUGCGAAAUGCCACACAAAGUGCUAAUCGAUCCCUUGCUGCGUUCACAUACUGUGAGUGCACAAAUCAGGGCACAGCAAGUUGCCUCUAAUGACCUGGACCACGGCACACAAACACACUACAUGCACACUGGUUUAUGCACACUGACACAGCUGCAACAGAAACCCACAGAAUACAUACUGUCUGUAUGAAUAAACGCACCGACUCUUAUCACACACAGACACACUCACAGCUGUCAGCAGCCAAGCCUCCAUCCUUUGCCCUCUGCUCCUUCAUCAUCAUCUAACCCUUUUCCUGUCUAUCAAGCCUUUCUCCCUGUGAAUAUACAGUUCACACAAAUGUUGACUGGUAAAUGCUUUAUGAAGUGCCACUUGUACAAAUCAUGCCACUGCAGUUCCCCAAAGCCCUGCCAGCAGGAAGCAUCUGUAGGUUGUGAUCCUCAGUUAACCAUAUGUGUUUUAAACAUACUCUACAUGCAGUAUUCAUGCUGUAACCAAUCUAUGAAUGUACUGUGUGUGUACGUGAGUGUGCGGGUGUGUGCGUGUGUGUGUGUAAGACAGAAACAAACAGUCUUGCUGCAUGUGUACUUGCUUGUGAUUUUUAUACAGUAUGUGAUAAUCAACUAGUUAUGUGAUGCUUUUUAGGGCCCGAGCGUAGCUGCUAAGCAGCUGCGAGAGCCCUCUUGUUCCUGUAGUUUCCUUCUUUUGUUAUUAUUAGGGCCCGAGCGUAGCUGCUAAGCAGCUGCGAGAGCCCUCUUGUUCCUGUAGUUUCCUUCUUUUGUUAUUAUUAUUAUUAGGGCCCGAGCCAGCUGCAGAGCAGCCGGGCGUAGGCCCUGUUAUUCCUGUAGGGGUUUUUCUUUAGGGCCCGAGCGUAGCUGCUAAGCAGCUGCGAGAGCCCUAUUAUUCCCCAAGUGGUUUUUUAGGGCCCGAGCCAGCUGCAGAGCAGCCGGGCGUAGGCCCUGUUAUUCCUGUAGGGGUUUUUCUUUGUUUCUUUCUUUCUUCUUUUUCCUCCCCUUUGAACUGGAAAAUGGCCCACUUCCCACUGGCGAAAACUCAUGAAAUUUGGCAGGACGACCGGGCCUGGUGAAAAAUUUGAUAUUCCGAAGUCGCCCAAACAAGAAAAUGCAAAAUGGCUCCAUAGCGCCCCCUAAGGUGAAAAUUCACACUAUUGACUGUCACGCCUGUACGCUUUGUCAAAAUGACACAAAAAUUGACACACACAUGUAUCUCAAUAAGAUCUACAAAAAAGUCAGCGCGGGCGUAUCUGUCAAAUGUACGGUUAAAGGGUUAUUUCGCAUUUUUUGCCGAUCCGCACACAUUGGAAUUUCGCUAACUCCUCCGAAGGCUUUCGUUCCACCGGCACCACAUUUGCUCAGGCCAAUCUACACCCCAUGGCCAUUAAAAGUUAUUCAAAUCAUGACGCUGCACCCCACGGUUUAGGUUCUAGGGGGCGCCAAAGAUAACCCUAAAAUCCACAUAUUUAAAAGUCUUAUAACUUUUUAUUUUUGCCCUCACUGGCCUCCAAGUUUUCUAGGAUGAUGCAAUGUCCAGCCAUCAACACAUUUGUGAAGGAAUUUUUACUCCCCAAAAGAGCGCCCCCCCAUGGCAGGAGAAAAAAGUCAAUUUUUUCUUGUCCCCUAAGGUGAAAAUACACAUUGUUGAGUGUCACGCCUAUACGCUUUGUCAAAAUGACACAAAAAUUGACACACACAUGUAUCUCAAUAAGAUCUACAAAAAAGUCCAUGCGCGCGUAUCUGUCAAAUGUACGGUUAAAGGGUUAUUCCGCAUUUUUUGCCGAUUCGCACACAUUGGAAUUUCGCUAACUCCUCCGAAGGCUUUCGUUCCACCGGCACCACAUUUGCUCAGGCCAAUCUACACCCCAUGGCCAUUAAAAGUUAUUCAAAUCAUGACGCUGCACCCCAUGGUUUAGGUUCUAGGGGGCGCCAAAAAUAACCCAAAAAUCCACAUUCUUAAAUGUUUUAUAACUUUUUAUUUUUGUCCUCACUGGCCUCCAAGUUUUCUAGGAUGAUGCAAUGUCCAGCCAUCAACACAUUUGUGAAGGAAUUUUUACUCCCCAAAAGAGCGCCCCCCCAUGGUAGGAGAAAAAAGUCAAUUUUUUCUUGUCCCCUUACAUGAAAAUACACAUUGUUGAGAUUCACGCCUGAACGCUUUGUCAUAUUGACAAAAAAAUUGACAAUCAUGUGUAUCUCAAUUAGAUCUACGAAAAAGUCAAAGAGCGCGUAUCUUUAUAAUGUACGGUUAAAGGGCUAUUUUGCAUUUUUUGCUGAUUCGCACACAUUGGAAUGUGGCUAUCUCCUCCUAAGGCUUUCGUCCCACCGAUACCAAAUUUGCUCAGGGCAAUCUACACCCCAUGCCCAUUCAAAGUUGUAAAAAUCAUGACGCUGCACCCCACAUUUUACGUUCUAGGGGCCGCCAAAGAUGACCCAAAAAUCCACAUUCUUAAAAGUCAUUUUGGCCACUGCAGGAGUACAGAGUACUGCAGUUCUAGGGGGCGCCAAAGAUGACCCAAAAAUCCACAUUCUUAAAAGUCUUUUUGGCCACUGCAGGAGUACAGAGUACUGCAGGAUACACACACAUAUACACACACGCCAACAUACACACACACACACACACACACACACACACAGACACACACACACACUCAGAGUCUGUUUUUUAGCACCUGCAAAAACAUGCUGUUUACAUAUUUGACAAGAAUGCAGAGGCUUCCUUUUGCCCCUGAAAAAAAUCAAAUUUCAAACACAACUUGACUGUUCAUUUCUCCAAAAGACAACCAUGAAGUUCCAUUUCAAACCUGAAGCAGAUAGUUGGUGCAUGUGUACAGUAACCUGAGGGGAGUGAGGUGACUAUUUCUGAGGAGAACAUGAGCAGUGAAGAUUCACCUUGGAGCUAGAACAGGGACGUGCACAUGAUUAUACAGGGGCAGGGGCUCAAGUUUUUUCCAGUCAUUUAUACAAUAUGGAAAUUAAUGUGAAAUUAAACCACAAAUAUGUGUGAUGAACUGUUUUUAAAACUUAAACUUCAAAUAAAAAUUGUAAACUUCAAAACAUAUGCAAAUUUUUAACAAAGAACAUAGUGAUUUACCUCUAUUUACAUCAAAAUGCAGGCAAUGGCCCAGGCGUUCUUUGUAAAAUUAUUUACAAAACACUGUAUAGUCUCACAAAUGUCACUUUUUAUUGAUGCCACUACAAAAAAACAUGAUGUAAAUGAUGCAUGAUGUAAAACAUGAUGUAAAAAACUUGUGUAGAUCCUCCUCUAUGUCAGUCCAUGUGUAAUUUUUCCAUAAUUCUUUGUUUUUUGCAGCAUUUUUGUUAGUGUAACUGCAGAUUGUGCUGACAGUGUCUAUGGCACACAAAAAAAAAAAAAUUCAAAAUGCCUCAACAUGAACCCCUGGUGGUCUCUGAGGGUGAAACCUGCUAACUGCUGCAGCUCUGUCAGCUUCAGUCUCCCAUGCAGAGCUCUGAGCGCAUGUGUGGCUCUGCACCCUUAGCAGCGUUGCUAACUCCUCAGUAAGGAAAGCCUGCUUCAUGUCAGAGUCUCUAAACUCCAGAAGAAGUCGAUAAAAGUCCCUUUCUUUCUAAAAAAAAGUCGUUAGGGUGUCUGAAAAGUCAUUGAAUCUAACAACAAAGUCGCUAGGUUUGCAACUACGUGUCCCAGACUGCAUCCCUGCUGAGAGUCCCUCCCUCCCUUUUCAUGUUGCAGGAAGAACGUAAGCGCCCGCCUCUGUCAAUCAGUCACCAUAUAAUUUUGGAUUGGUUGUUGUGGUGAAGUUUUCCACCAAUAGGAGAGAUGUUGUGGUGUGUUUUUUUUUUUAUUUGGCAAGCCUUUUCCGCCUGUAAGACCUGUCGCUAAUGUCUGCAUGCUAUGUUUUCCUGUCUCAUACAGCGCGAUCGAGCGCCGAACGUGAUCAAAAUAAGCAGAAAAAAAGUAUCGCGGACUUAAUUUAUCAUAACUCUGGUUUUAUUUGGCCUAUCAACACAAUUUAAAAACUGGUAUAUAGGUUGAGGUCCUCACUUUUGAGAUAAGUUGAAACGGAGAGUCAACGAGGCUCCGUCUUGCAGCUACAUCCGGUUAAAUAUGUCAUGUGACUUGAGCGCACACACAGACACACACACACGCACACACACACACACACACACACACACUCAGAGUCUGGUUUUUAGCACCUGCAAAAACAUGCUAUUUACAUAUUUGACAAAAAUGCAGAGGCUCCUUUUGCCCCUGAAAAAAAUCAAAUUUCAAACACAACUUUACUGGUCAUUUCUCCAAAAGACAACCAUGAAGCUCCAUCCAAACCUGAAGCAGGCAGUUGGUGCAUGUGUACAGUAACCUGAGGGGAGUGACGUGAGUGCUUCUGAGGAGAACAUGAGCAGUGAAGAUUCACCUUGGAGCUAGAACAGAGACAUGCACAUGAUUAUACAGGGGCAGGGGCUCAAGUUUUUUCCAGUCGUUUAUACAAUAUGGAAAUUAAUGUGAAAUUAAAACACAAAGUAUUAAUAGAAAGGUAAUGACUGUCCUGUGUAGGUGACAGUGAUAUCCAAUAGGCUAGGCACUCACGAGGCUGGCUGUGGCAAGUGUAAGUGAAAGCAACACGCACUGGCAGGAAGAACAGCAAACGCCGAUGAAGGAAAAGGGUCUUUGCAGUGAUGGGCGUUACCAGAGAGGGCGAUGGCCAGAGGACACAAAUGGGACGGGGAGGCAGCACGUUGGGGGGGGGGACGCGACACGGCUCGGGCCCGCCAGUGCCCCAACGGGGUCCUAGUCUUUGUUUCUUUCUUUCUUUUUUCUUUUUCCUCCCCUUUGAACUGGAAAAUGGCCCACUUCCCACUGGCGAAAACUCAUGAAAUUUGGCAGGACGACCGGGCCUGGUGAAAAAUUCGAUAUUCUGAAGUCGCCCAAACAAUAAAAUGCAAAAUGGCUCCAUAGCGCCCCCUAAGGUGGAAAUUCACACUAUUGACUGUCACGCCUGUACGCUUUGUCAUAUUGACACAAAAAUUGACACACACAUGUAUCUCAAUAAGAUCUACAAAAAAGUCAGUGCGGCCGUAUCUGUCAAAAUUACGGUUAAAGGGUUAUUUCGCAUUUUUUGCCGAUCCGCACACAUUGGAAUUUCGCUAACUCCUCCGAAGGCUUUCGUUCCACCGGCACCACAUUUGCUCAGGCCAAUCUACACCCCGUGGCCAUUAAAAGUUAUCAAAAUCAUGACGCUGCACCCCAAGGUUUAGGUUCUAGGGGGCGCCAAAGAUAACCCAAAAAUCCACAUUCUUAAAAGUUUUAUAACUUUUUAUUUUUGUCCUCACUGGCCUCCAAGUUUUCUAGGAUGAUGCAAUGUCCAGCCAUCAACACAUUUGUGAAGGAAUUUUUACUCCCCAAAAGAGCGCCCCCCCAUGGCAGGAGAAAAAAGUCCAUUUUUUCUUGUCCCCUAAGGUGAAAAUACACAUUGUUGAGUGUCACGCCUAUACGCUUUGUCAAAAUGACACAAAAAUUGACACACACAUGUAACUCAAUAAGAUCUACGAAAAAGUCAAUGCGGGCGUAUCUGUCAAAUGUACGGUUAAAGGGUUAUUCCGCAUUUUUUGCCGAUCCGCACACAUUGGAAUGUGGCUAACUCCUCCUAAGGCUUUCGUUCCACCGGCACCACAUUUGCUCAGGCCAAUCUACACCCCAUGGCCAUUAAAAGUUAUUCAAAUCAUGACGCUGCACCCCACGGUUUAGGUUCUAGGGGGCGCCAAAGAUAACCCUAAAAUCCACAUAUUUAAAAGUCUUAUAACUUUUUAUUUUUGUCCUCACUGGCCUCCAUGUUUUCUAGGAUGAUGCAAUGUCCAGCCAUCAACACAUUUGUGAAGGAAUUUUUACUCCCCAAAAGAGCGCCCCCCCAUGGCAGGAGAAAAAAGUCCAUUUUUUCUUGUCCCCUAAGGUGAAAAUACACAUUGUUGAGUGUCACGCCUGUACGCUUUGGCAAAAUGACACAAAAAUUGACAAUCAUGUGUAUCUCAAUUAGAUCUACGAAAAAGUCAAAGAGCGCGUAUCUGUAUAAUGUACGGUAAAAGGGCUAUUUUGCAUUUUUUGCCGAUUCGCACACAUUGGAAUUUCGCUAACUCCUCCUAAGGCUUUCGUCCCACUGACACCAAAUUUGCUCAGGCCAAUCUACACUCCAUGGCCAUUCAAAGUUGUAAAAAUCAUGACGCUGCACCCCACGGUUUACGUUUUAGGGGGCGCCAAAGAUGACCCAAAUAUACAUUACAGUAGACAAAGUAGUUUUGCCCACUGAGUGGCGCCAAAGGGACUUGUCUGUGGAGUCUGUGAGUCACUAUUGGCCGUUUUUGACUACUUUAGAUUUUACCUUUAUAUUUCCUCUUACAAAAUUUUUACCUUGCCUUGCCUGGUAUCAUUUUUUUCAGCACAACCUCACCUGUGUCAAUUUACAGUUAUUUUAUCAUUUUGACAUACUAUAUUUACACAUUGGACCCAAAUUCACACACAAAACAUAAAAUCCGAGUGGAAAAAAGUAACGUUUUUACUGUGAAAACCACAAAUAUGUGUGAUGAACUGUUUUUAAAACUUAAACUUCAAAUAAAAAUUGUAAACUUCAAAACAUAUGCAAAUUUUUAACAAAGAACAUAGUAAUUUACCUCUAUUUACAUCAAAAUGCAGGCAAUGGCCCAGGUGUUCUUUGUAAAAUUAUUUACAAAACACUGUAUAGUCUCACAAAUGUCACUUUUUUUAUUUAUGCCACUACAAAAAAACAUGAUGUAAAUGAUGCAUGAUGUAAAACAUGAUGUAAAAAACUUGUGUAUAUCCUCCUCUAUGUUAGUCCAUGUGUAAUUUUUCCAUAAUUCUUUGUUUUUUGCAGCAUUUUUGUUAGUGUAACUGCAGAUUGUGCUGACAGUGUCUAUGGCAAAAAAAAAAAAAAACUGAAAAUGCCUCAACAUGAACCCCUGGUGGUCUCUGAGGGUGAAACCUGCUAACUGCUGCAGCUCUGUCAGCUUCAGUCUCCCAUGCAGAGCUCGGAGCGCAUGUGUGGCUCUGCACCCUUAGCAGCGUUGCUAACUCCUCAGUAAGGAAAGCCUGCUUCAUGUCAGAGUCUCUAAACUCCAGAAGAAGUCGAUAAAAGUCACUUUCUUUCUAAAAAAAAAGUCGUUAGGGGGUCUGAAAAGUCAUUGAAUCUAACAACAAAGUCGCUAGGUUUGCAACUACGUGUCCCAGACUGCAUCCCUGCUGAGAGUCCCUCCCUCCCUUCUCAUAUUGCAGGAAGAACGUAAGCGCCCGCCCCUUGUCAAUCAGUCACCAUAUAAUUUUGGAUUGGUUGUUGUGGUGAAGUUUUCCACCAAUAGGAGAGAUGUUGUGGUGUGUUUUUUUUUUCCUUUGGCAAGCCUUUUCCGCCUGUAAGACCUGUCGCUAAUGUCUGCAUGCUAUGUUUUCCUGUCUCAUACAGCGCGAUCGAGCGCCGAACGUGAUCAAAAUAAGCAGAAAACAAGUAUCGCGGACAUAAUUUAUCAUAACUCUGGUUUUAUUUGGCCUAUCAACACAAUUUAAAAACUGGUAUAUAGGUUGAGGUCCUCACUUUUGAGAUAAGUUGAAACGGAGUCAACGAGGCUCCGUCUUGCAGCUACAUCCGGUUAAAUAUGUCAUGUGACUUGAACGCACACACACACACACACACACACACACACACAGACACACACACACACGCACACACACACACUCAGAGUCUGGUUUUUAGCACCUGCAAAAACAUGCUAUUUACAUAUUUGACAAGAAUGCAGAGGCUCCUUUUGCCCCUGAAAAAAAUCAAAUUUCAAACACAACUUGACUGCUCAUUUCUCCAAAAGACAACCAUGAAGCUCCAUCCAAACCUGAAGCAGGCAGUUGGUGCAUGUGUACAGUAACCUGAGGGGAGUGAGGUGACUGCUUCUGAGGAGAACAUGAGCAGUGAAGAUUCACCUUAGAGCUAGAACAGAGACGUGCACAUGAUUAUACAGGGGCAGGGGCUCAAGUUUUUUCCAGUUGUUUAUACAAUAUGGAAAUUAAUGUGAAAUUAAAAAACAAAGUAUUAAUAGAAAGGUAAUGACUGUCCUGAGUAGGUGACAGUGAUAUCCAAUAGGCUAGGCACUCAAGAGGCUGGCUGUGGCAAGUGUAAGUGAAAGCAACACGCACUGGCAGGAAGAACAGCAAACGCCGAUGAAGGAAAAGGGUCUUUGCAGUGAUGGGCGUUACCAGAGAGGGCGAUGGCCAGAGGACACAAAUGGGACGGGGAGGCAGCGCGUUGGGGGGGGGACGCGACACAGCUCGGGCCCGCCAGUGCCCCAACGGGGUCCUAGUUGUUUCUUUCUUUAGGGCCCGAGCGUAGCUGCUAAGCAGCUGCGAGAGCCCUCUUGUUCCUGUAGUUUCCUUCUUUUGUUAUUAUUAUUAUUUUUCCUCCCCUUUGAACUGGAAAAUGGCCCACUUCCCACUGGCGAAAACUCAUGAAAUUUGGCAGGACGACCGGGCCUGGUGAAAAAUUUGAUAUUCCGAAGUCGCCCAAACAAGAAAAUGCAAAAUGGCUCCAUAGCGCCCCCUAAGGUGAAAAUUCACACUAUUCACUGUCACGCCGGUACGCUUUGUCAAAAUGACACAAAAAUUGACACACACAUGUAUCUCAAUAAGAUCUACAAAAAAGUCAGUGCGGGCGUAUCUGUCAAAUGUACGGUUAAAGGGUUAUUUCGCAUUUUUUGCCGAUCCGCACACAUUGGAAUUUCGCUAACUCCUCCGAAGGCUUUCGUUCCACCGGCACCACAUUUGCUCAGGCCAAUCUACACCCCAUGGCUAUUAAAAGUUAUUCAAAUCAUGACGCUGCACCCCACGGUUUAGGUUCUAGGGGGCGCCAAAGAUAACCCUAAGAUCCACAUAUUUAAAAGUCUUAUAACUUUUUAUUUUUGCCCUCACUGGCCUCCAAGUUUUCUAGGAUGAUGCAAUGUCCAGCCAUCAACACAUUUGUGAAGGAAUUUUUACUCCCCAAAAGAGCGCCCCCCCAUGGCAGGAGAAAAAAGUCAAUUUUUUCUUGUCCACUAAGGUGAAAAUACACAUUGUUGAGUGCUACGCCUGUAUGUUUUGUCGUAUUGACACAAAAUUUUACAUACACGUGUAUUUCAAUAAGAUCUUCGAAAAAGUCAAUGGCCACGUAUCUGUAAAAUGUACGGUUAAAGGGUUAUUUCGCAUUUUUUGCCGAUUCGCACACAUUGGAAUUUCGCUAACUCCUCCGAAGGCUUUCGUUCCACCGGCACCACAUUUGCUCAGGCCAAUCUACACCCCAUGGCCAUUAAAAGUUAUUCAAAUCAUGACGCUGCACCCCACGGUUUACGUUCUAGGGGGCGCCAAAGAUAACCCAAAAAUCCACAUUUUUAAAAGUCUUAUAACUUUUUAUUUUUGUCCUCACUGGCCUCCAAGUUUUCUAGGAUGAUGCAAUGUCCAGCCAUCAACACAUUUGUGAAGGAAUUUUUACUCCCUAAAAGAGCGCCCCCCCAUGGCAGGAGAAAAAAGUCCAUUUUUUCUUGUCCCCUAAGGUGAAAAUACACAUUGUUGAGUGUCACGCCUGUACGCUUUGUCAAAAUGACACAAAAAUUGACACACACAUGUAUCUCAAUUAGAUCUACGAAAAAGUCAAAGAGCGCGUAUCUGUAUAAUGUACGGUAAAAGGGCUAUUUUGCAUUUUUUGCCGAUUCGCACACAUUGGAAUUUCGCUAACUCCUCCUAAGGCUUUCGUCCCACUGACACCAAAUUUGCUCAGGCCAAUCUACACUCCAUGGCCAUUCAAAGUUGUAAAAAUCAUGAUGCUGCACCCCACGGUUUACGUUUUAGGGGGCGCCAAAGAUGACCCAAAUAUACAUUACAGUAGACAAAGUAGUUUUGCCCACUGAGUGGCGCCAAAGGGACUUGUCUGUGGAGUCUGUGAGUCACUAUUGGCCGUUUUUGACUACUUUAGAUUUUACCUUUAUAUUUCCUCUUACAAAAUUUUUACCUUGCCUUGCCUGGUAUCAUUUUUUUCAGCACAACCUCACCUGUGUCAAUUUACAGUUAUUUUAUCAUUUUGACAUACUAUAUUUACACAUUGGACCCAAAUUCACACACAAAACAUAAAAUCCGAGUGGAAAAAAGUAACGUUUUUACUGUGAAAACCACAAAUAUGUGUGAUGAACUGUUUUUAAAACUUAAACUUCAAAUAAAAAUUGUAAACUUCAAAACAUAUGCAAAUUUUUAACAAAGAACAUAGUAAUUUACCUCUAUUUACAUCAAAAUGCAGGCAAUGGCCCAGGUGUUCUUUGUAAAAUUAUUUACAAAACACUGUAUAGUCUCACAAAUGUCACUUUUUAUUUAUGCCACUACAAAAAAACAUGAUGUAAAUGAUGCAUGAUGUAAAACAUGAUGUAAAAAACUUGUGUAGAUCCUCCUCUAUGUUAGUCCAUGUGUAAUUUUUCCAUAAUUCUUUGUUUUUUGCAGCAUUUUUGUUAGUGUAACUGCAGAUUGUGCUGACAGUGUCUAUGGCAAAAAAAAACAAAAAAAACUGAAAAUGCCUCAACAUGAACCCCUGGUGGUCUCUGAGGGUGAAACCUGCUAACUGCUGCAGCUCUGUCAGCUUCAGUCUCCCAUGCAGAGCUCGAAGCGCAUGUGUGGCUCUGCACCCUUAGCAGCGUUGCUAACUCCUCAGUAAGGAAAGCCUGCUUCAUGUCAGAGUCUCUAAACUCCAGAAGAAGUCGAUAAAAGUCACUUUCUUUCUAAAAAAAAGUCGUUAGGGGGUCUGAAAAGUCAUUGAAUCUAACAACAAAGUCGCUAGGUUUGCAACUACGUGUCCCAGACUGCAUCCCUGCUGAGAGUCCCUCCCUCCCUUCUCAUAUUGCAGGAAGAACGUAAGCGCCCGCCCCUUGUCAAUCAGUCACCAUAUAAUUUUGGAUUGGUUGUUGUGGUGAAGUUUUCCACCAAUAGGAGAGAUGUUGUGGUGUGUUUUUUUUUUCCUUUGGCAAGCCUUUUCCGCCUGUAAGAGCUGUCGCUAAUGUCUGCAUGCUAUGUUUUCCUGUCUCAUACAGCGCGAUCGAGCGCCGAACGUGAUCAAAAUAAGCAGAAAACAAGUAUCGCGGACAUAAUUUAUCAUAACUCUGGUUUUAUUUGGCCUAUCAACACAAUUUAAAAACUGGUAUAUAGGUUGAGGUCCUCACUUUUGAGAUAAGUUGAAACGGAGAGUCAACGAGGCUCCGUCUUGCAGCUACAUCCGGUUAAAUAUGUCAUGUGACUUGAACGCACACAUAGACACACACACACGCACACACACACACACACACACACACACACACACACACACACACACACACACUCAGAGUCUGGUUUUUAGCACCUGCAAAAACAUGCUAUUUACAUAUUUGACAAGAAUGCAGAGGCUCCUUUUGCCCCUGAAAAAAAUCAAAUUUCAAACACAACUUGACUGGUCAUUUCUCCAAAAGACAACCAUGAAGCUCCAUCCAAACCUGAAGCAGGCAGUUGGUGCAUGUGUACAGUAACCUGAGGGGAGUGAGGUGACUGCUUCUGAGGAGAACAUGAGCAGUGAAGAUUCACCUUAGAGCUAGAACAGAGACCUGCACAUGAUUAUACAGGGGCAGGGGCUCAAGUUUUUUCCAGUCGUUUAUACAAUAUGGAAAUUAAUGUGAAAUUAAAAAACAAAGUAUUAAUAGAAAGGUAAUGACUGUCCUGUGUAGGUGACAGUGAUAUCCAAUAGGCUAGGCACUCACGAGGCUGGCUGUGGCAAGUGUAAGUGAAAGCAACACGCACUGGCAGGAAGAACAGCAAACGCCGAUGAAGGAAAAGGGUCUUUGCAGUGAUGGGCGUUACCAGAGAGGGCGAUGGCCAGAGGACACAAAUGGGACGGGGAGGCAGCGCGUUGGGGGGGGGACGCGACACAGCUCGGGCCCGCCAGUGCCCCAACGGGGUCCUAGUUCUUCUUUUUCCUCCCCUUUGAACUGGAAAAUGGCCCACUUCCCACUGGCGAAAACUCAUGAAAUUUGGCAGGACGACCGGGCCUGGUGAAAAAUUCGAUAUUCUGAAGUCGCCCAAACAAUAAAAUGCAAAAUGGCUCCAUAGCGCCCCCUAAGGUGGAAAUUCACACUAUUGACUGUCACGCCUGUACGCUUUGUCAUAUUGACACAAAAAUUGACACACAUAUGUAUCUCAAUAAGAUCUACAAAAAAGUCAGUGCGGCCGUAUCUGUCAAAAUUACGGUUAAAGGGUUAUUUCGCAUUUUUUGCCGAUCCGCACACAUUGGAAUUUCGCUAACUCCUCCGAAGGCUUUCGUUCCACCGGCACCACAUUUGCUCAGGCCAAUCUACACCCCGUGGCCAUUAAAAGUUAUCAAAAUCAUGACGCUGCACCCCAAGGUUUAGAUUCUAGGGGGCGCCAAAGAUAACACUAAAAUCCACAUAUUUAAAAGUCUUAUAACUUUUUAUUUUUGUCCUCACUGGCCUCCAAGUUUUCUAGGAUGAUGCAAUGUCCAGCCAUCAACACAUUUGUGAAGGAAUUUUUACUCCCCAAAAGAGCGCCCCCCCAUGGCAGGAGAAAAAAGUCCAUUUUUUCUUGUCCCCUAAGGUGAAAAUACACAUUGUUGAGUGUCAAGCCUAUACGCUUUGUCAAAAUGACACAAAAAUUGACACACACAUGUAACUCAAUAAGAUCUACAAAAAAGUCCAUGCGCGCGUAUCUGUCAAAUGUACAGUUAAAGGGUUAUUCCGCAUUUUUUGCCGAUACGCACACAUUGGAAUUUCGCUAACUCCUCCGAAGGCUUUCGUUCCACCGGCACCACAUUUGCUCAGGCCAAUCUACACCCCAUGGCCAUUAAAAGUUAUUCAAAUCAUGAUGCUGCACCCCAUGGUUUAGGUUCUAGGGGGCGCCAAAAAUAACCCAAAAAUCCACAUUCUUAAAUGUUUUAUAACUUUUUAUUUUUGUCCUCACUGGCCUCCAAGUUUUCUAGGAUGAUGCAAUGUCCAGCCAUCAACACAUUUGUGAAGGAAUUUUUACUCCCCAAAAGAGCGCCCCCCAUGGUAGGAGAAAAAAGUCAAUUUUUUCUUGUCCCCUUACAUAAAAAUACACAUUGUUGAGUGUCACGCCUGAACGCUUUGUCAUAUUGACACAAAAAUUGACAAUCAUGUGUAUCUCAAUUAGAUCUACGAAAAAGUCAAAGAGCGCGUAUCUGUAUAAUGUACGGUUAAAGGGCUAUUUUGCAUUUUUUGCCGAUUCGCACACAUUGGAAUGUGGCUAUCUCCUCCUAAGGCUUUCGUCCCACCGAUACCAAAUUUGCUCAGGGCAAUCUACACCCCAUGCCCAUUCAAAGUUGUAAAAAUCAUGACGCUGCACCCCACGGUUUACGUUCUAGGGGGCGCCAAAGAUGACCCAAAAAUCCACAUUCUUAAAAGUCAUUUUGGCCACUGCAGGAGUACAGAGUACUGCAGUUCUAGGGGGCGCCAAAGAUGACCCAAAAAUCCACAUUCUUAAAAGUCUUUUUGGCCACUGCAGGAGUACAGAGUACUGCAGGAUACACACACAUAUACACACACGCCAACAUACACACACACACACACACACACACACACACACACACACACACAGACACACACCCACACUCAGAGUCUGGUUUUUAGCACCUGCAAAAACAUGCUGUUUACAUAUUUGACAAGAAUGCAGAGGCUCCUUUUGCCCCUGAAAAAAAUCAAAUUUCAAACACAACUUGACUGUUCAUUUCUCCAAAAGACAACCAUGAAGCUCCAUUUUAAACCUGAAGCAGAUAGUUGGUGCAUGUGUACAGUAACCUGAGGGGAGUGAGGUGACUAUUUCUGAGGAGAACAUGAGCAGUGAAGAUUCACCUUGGAGCUAGAACAGGGACGUGCACAUGAUUAUACAGGGGCAGGGGCUCAAGUUUUUUCCAGUCAUUUAUACAAUAUGGAAAUUAAUGUGAAAUUAAACCACAAAUAUGUGUGAUGAACUGUUUUUAAAACUUAAACUUCAAAUAAAAAUUGUAAACUUCAAAACAUAUGCAAAUUUUUAACAAAGAACAUAGUAAUUUACCUCUAUUUACAUCAAAAUGCAGGCAAUGGCCCAGGCGUUCUUUGUAAAAUUAUUUACAAAACACUGUAUAGUCUCACAAAUGUCACUUUUUAUUUAUGCCACUACAAAAAAACAUGAUGUAAAUGAUGCAUGAUGUAAAACAUGAUGUAAAAAACUUGUGUAGAUCCUCCUCUAUGUCAGUCCAUGUGUAAUUUUUCCAUAAUUCUUUGUUUUUUGCAGCAUUUUUGUUAGUGUAACUGCAGAUUGUGCUGACAGUGUCUAUGGCACAAAAAAAAAAAAAAAUUUUUAAUGCCUCAACAUGAACCCGUGGUGGUCUCUGAGGGUGAAACCUGCUAACUGCUGCAGCUCUGUCAGCUUCAGUCUCCCAUGCAGAGCUCUGAGCGCAUGUGUGGCUCUGCACCCUUAGCAGCGUUGCUAACUCCUCAGUAUGGAAAGCCUGCUUCAUGUCAGAGUCUCUAAACUCCAGAAGAAGUCGAUAAAAGUCCCUUUCUUUCUAAAAAAAAGUCGUUAGGGGGUCUGAAAAGUCAUUGAAUCUAACAACAAAGUCGCUAGGUUUGCAACUACGUGUCCCAGACUGCAUCCCUGCUGAGAGUCCCUCCCUCCCUUCUCAUGUUGCAGGAAGAACGUAAGCGCCCCCCCCUUGUCAAUCAGUCACCAUAUAAUUUUGGAUUGGUUGUUGUGGUGAAGUUUUCCACCAAUAGGAGAGAUGUUGUGGUGUGUUUUUUUUUUCUUUUGGCAAGCCUUUUCCGCCUGUAAGAACUGUCGCUAAUGUCUGCAUGCUAUGUUUUCCUGUCUCAUACAGCGCGAUCGAGCGCCGAACGUGAUCAAAAUAAGCAGAAAAAAAAUAUCGCGGACAUAAUUUAUCAUAACUCUGGUUUUAUUUGGCCUAUCAACACAAUUUAAAAACUGGUAUAUAGGUUGAGGUCCUCACUUUUGAGAUAAGUUGAAACGGAGAGUCAACGAGGCUCCGUCUUGCAGCUACAUCCGGUUAAAUAUGUCAUGUGACUUGAACGCACACACAGACACACACACACGCACACACGCACACACACACACACACACACACACACACACACACACACACACACACACACACACACUCAGAGUCUGGUUUUUAGCACCUGCAAAAACAUGCUAUUUACAUAUUUGACAAGAAUGCAGAGGCUCCUUUUGCCCCUGAAAAAAAUCAAAUUUCAAACACAACUUGACUGGUCAUUUCUCCAAAAGACAACCAUGAAGCUCCAUCCAAACCUGAAGCAGGCAGUUGGUGCAUGUGUACAGUAACCUGAGGGGAGUGAGGUGAGUGCUUCUGAGGAGAACAUGAGCAGUGAAGAUUCACCUUGGAGCUAGAACAGAGACAUGCACAUGAUUAUACAGGGGCAGGGGCUCAAGUUUUUUCCAGUCGUUUAUACAAUAUGGAAAUUAAUGUGAAAUUAAAACACAAAGUAUUAAUAGAAAGGUAAUGACUGUCCUGUGUAGGUGACAGUGAUAUCCAAUAGGCUAGGCACUCACGAGGCUGGCUGUGGCAAGUGUAAGUGAAAGCAACACGCACUGGCAGGAAGAACAGCAAACGCCGAUGAAGGAAAAGGGUCUUUGCAGUGAUGGGCGUUACCAGAGAGGGCGAUGGCCAGAGGACACAAAUGGGACGGGGAGGCAGCACGUUGGGGGGGGGGGGGGGACGCGACACGGCUCGGGCCCGCCAGUGCCCCAACGGGGUCCUAGUUAUUAUUUUUCCUCCCCUUUGAACUGGAAAAUGGCCCACUUCCCACUGGCGAAAACUCAUGAAAUUUGGCAGGACGACCGGGCCUGGUGAAAAAUUUGAUAUUCCGAAGUCGCCCAAACAAGAAAAUGCAAAAUGGCUCCAUAGCGCCCCCUAAGGUGAAAAUUCACACUAUUGACUGUCACGCCUGUACGCUUUGUCAAAAUGACACAAAAAUUGACACACACAUGUAUCUCAAUAAGAUCUACAAAAAAGUCAGUGCGGGCGUAUCUGUCAAAUGUACGGUUAAAGGGUUAUUUCGCAUUUUUUGCCGAUCCGCACACAUUGGAAUUUCGCUAACUCCUCCGAAGGCUUUCGUUCCACCGGCACCACAUUUGCUCAGGCCAAUCUACACCCCAUGGCCAUUAAAAGUUAUUCAAAUCAUGACGCUGCACCCCACGGUUUAGGUUCUAGGGGGCGCCAAAGAUAACCCUAAGAUCCACAUAUUUAAAAGUCUUAUAACUUUUUAUUUUUGCCCUCACUGGCCUCCAAGUUUUCUAGGAUGAUGCAAUGUCCAGCCAUCAACACAUUUGUGAAGGAAUUUUUACUCCCCAAAAGAGCGCCCCCCCAUGGCAGGAGAAAAAAGUCCAUUUUUUCUUGUCCCCUAAGGUGAAAAUACACAUUGUUGAGUGUAACACCUGUACGCUUUGGCAAAAUGACACAAAAAUUGACACACACAUGUAUCUCAAUAAGAUCUACGAAAAAGUCAACGCGCGCGUAUCUGUCAAAUGUACGGUUAAAGGGUUAUUCCGCAUUUUUUGCCGAUCCGCACACAUUGGAAUUUCGCUAACUCCUCCGAAGGCUUUCGUUCCACCGGCACCACAUUUGCUCAGGCCAAUCUACACCCCAUGGCCAUUAAAAGUUAUUCAAAUCAUGACGCUGCACCCCACGGUUUAGGUUCUAGGGGGAGCCAAAGAUAACCGUAAAAUCCACAUAUUUAAAAGUCUUAUAACUUUUUAUUUUUGUCCCCACUGGCCUCCAAGUUUUCUAGGAUGAUGCAAUGUCCAGCCAUCAACACAUUUGUGAAGGAAUUUUUACUCGGCAAAAGAGCGCCCCCCCAUGGCAGGAGAAAAAAGUCAAUUUUUUCUUGUCCACUAAGGUGAAAAUACACAUUGUUGAGUGCUACGCCUGUAUGUUUUGUCGUAUUGACACAAAAUUUUACAUACACGUGUAUUUCAAUAAGAUCUUCGAAAAAGUCAAUGGCCACGUAUCUGUAAAAUGUACGGUUGAAGGGUUAUUUCGCAUUUUUUGCAGAUUCGCACACAUUGGAAUUUCGCUAAUUCCUCCGAAGGCUUUCGUUCCACCGGCACCACAUUUGCUCAGGCCAAUCUACACCCCAUGGCCAUUAAAAGUUAUUCAAAUCAUGACGCUGCACCCCACGGUUUAGGUUCUAGGGGGCGCCAAAGAUAACCCUAAAAUCCACAUAUUUAAAAGUCUUAUAACUUUUUAUUUUUGUCCUCACUGGCCUCCAUGUUUUCUAGGAUGAUGCAAUGUCCAGCCAUCAACACAUUUGUGAAGGAGUUUUUUCUCUUUAAAAGAGCGCCCCCCCAUGGCAGGAGAAUAAAGUCAAGUUUUUCCUGUUCAUCAUUCAAUGGCUCAAACGCACUGCUCUCUCGGCAAAAGCGAAAGGAGGAGCAACUUGCCAUUUGGAUAUAUCUUAGCUGUGUUUGUGCCCUCACUCAUGGUCCAGACUUUUUUCAAAUAGGACAUGGAGUUUUUCUGCAGCGAGCGUUUUGGUAGAAACUGCGCCUCCCGUUCAUUACAAUGGUAAAUGACCACAAACAAGUGCACACACCAUCUUUGGACCUUGAGUGUGACGCGAUCGGGUGGGGGAGGCGGUCGCGCUGGGGGCGGCGUGACACGGCUCGGGCCCGCCAGUGCCCCAACGGGGCCCUAGUUAUUAUUUUUCCUCCCCUUUGAACUGGAAAAUGGCCCACUUCCCACUGGCGAAAACUCAUGAAAUUUGGCAGGACGACCGGGCCUGGUGAAAAAUUUGAUAUUCCGAAGUCGCCCAAACAAGAAAAUGCAAAAUGGCUCCAUAGCGCCCCCUAAGGUGAAAAUUCACACUAUUCACUGUCACGCUGGUACGCUUUGUCAAAAUGACACAAAAAUUGACACACACAUGUAUCUCAAUAAGAUCUACAAAAAAGUCAGUGCGGGCGUAUCUGUCAAAUGUACGGUUAAAGGGUUAUUUCGCAUUUUUUGCCGAUCCGCACACAUUGGAAUUUCGCUAACUCCUCCGAAGGCUUUCGUUCCACCGGCACCACAUUUGCUCAGGCCAAUCUACACCCCAUGGCCAUUAAAAGUUAUUCAAAUCAUGACGCUGCACCCCACGGUUUAGGUUCUAGGGGGCGCCAAAUAUAACCCUAAGAUCCACAUAUUUAAAAGUCUUAUAACUUUUUAUUUUUGCCCUCACUGGCCUCCAAGUUUUCUAGGAUGAUGCAAUGUCCAGCCAUCAACACAUUUGUGAAGGAAUUUUUACUCCCCAAAAGAGCGCCCCCCCAUGGCAGGAGAAAAAAGUCAAUUUUUUCUUGUCCCCUAAGGUGAAAAUACACAUUGUUGAGUGUAACACCUGUACGCUUUGGCAAAAUGACACAAAAAUUGACACACACAUGUAUCUCAAUAAGAUCUACGAAAAAGUCAAUGCGCGCGUAUCUGUCAAAUGUACGGUUAAAGGGUUAUUCCGCAUUUUUUGCCGAUCCGCACACAUUGGAAUUUCGCUAACUCCUCCGAAGGCUUUCGUUCCACCGGCACCACAUUUGCUCAGGCCAAUCUACACCCCAUGGCCAUUAAAAGUUAUUCAAAUCAUGACGCUGCACCCCACGGUUUAGGUUCUAGGGGGAGCCAAAGAUAACAGUAAAAUCCACAUAUUUAAAAGUCUUAUAACUUUUUAUUUUUGUCCCCACUGGCCUCCAAGUUUUCUAGGAUGAUGCAAUGUCCAGCCAUCAACACAUUUGUGAAGGAAUUUUUACUCGGCAAAAGAGCGCCCCCCCAUGGCAGGAGAAAAAAGUCAAUUUUUUCUUGUCCACUAAGGUGAAAAUACACAUUGUUGAGUGCUACGCCUGUAUGUUUUGUCGUAUUGACACAAAAUUUUACAUACACGUGUAUUUUAAUAAGAUCUUCGAAAAAGUCAAUGGCCAUGUAUCUGUAAAAUGUACGGUUAAAGGGUUAUUUCGCAUUUUUUGCAGAUUCGCACACAUUGGAAUUUCGCUGAUUCCUCCGAAGGCUUUCGUUCCACCGGCACCACAUUUGCUCAGGCCAAUCUACACCCCAUGGCCAUUAAAAGUUAUUCAAAUCAUGACGCUGCACCCCACGGUUUAGGUUCUAGGGGGCGCCAAAUAUAACCCUAAAAUCCACAUAUUUAAAAGUCUUAUAACUUUUUAUUUUUGUCCUCACUGGCCUCCAUGUUUUCUAGGAUGAUGCAAUGUCCAGCCAUCAACACAUUUGUGAAGGAGUUUUUUCUCUUUAAAAGAGCGCCCCCCCAUGGCAGGAGAAUAAAGUCAAGUUUUUCCUGUUCAUCAUUCAAUGGCUCAAACGCACUGCUCUCUCGGCAAAAGCGAAAGGAGGAGCAACUUGCCAUUUGGAUAUAUCUUAGCUGUGUUUGUGCCCUCACUCAUGGUCCAGACUUUUUUCAAAUAGGACAUGGAGUUUUUCUGCAGCGAGCGUUUUGGUAGAAACUGCGCCUCCCGUUCAUUAUAAUGGUAAAUGACCACAAACAAUUGCGCACACCAUCUUUGGACCUUGAGUGUGACGCGAUCGGGUGGGGGAGGCGGUCGCGCUGGGGGCGGCGUGACACGGCUCGGGCCCGCCAGUGCCCCAACGGGGCCCUAGUUAGGGCCCGAGCGUAGCUGCUAAGCAGCUGCGAGAGCCCUCUUGUUCCUGUAGUUUCCUUCUUUAGGGCCCGAGCGUAGCUGCUAAGCAGCUGCGAGAGCCCUCUUGUUCCUGUAGUUUCCUUCUUUUGUUAUUAUUAUUAGGGCCCGAGCGUAGCUGCUAAGCAGCUGCGAGAGCCCUCUUGUUCCUGUAGUUUCCUUCUUUUGUUAUUAUUAUUAUUAGGGCCCGAGCCAGCUGCAGAGCAGCCGGGCGUAGGCCCUGUUAUUCCUGUAGGGGUUUUUUAGGGCCCGAGCGUAGCUGCUAAGCAGCUGCGAGAGCCCUCUUGUUCCUGUAGUUUCCUUCUUUUGUUAUUAUUAUUAUUAUUAUUUUUCCUCCCCUUUGAACUGGAAAAUGGCCCACUUCCCACUGGCGAAAACUCAUGAAAUUUGGCAGGACGACCGGGCCUGGUGAAAAAUUUGAUAUUCCGAAGUCGCCCAAACAAGAAAAUGCAAAAUGGCUCCAUAGCGCCCCCUAAGGUGAAAAUUCACACUAUUCACUGUCACGCCGGUACGCUUUGUCAAAAUGACACAAAAAUUGACACACACAUGUAUCUCAAUAAGAUCUACAAAAAAGUCAGUGCAGGCGUAUCUGUCAAAUGUACGGUUAAAGGGUUAUUGUGCAUUUUUUGCCGAUCCGCACACAUUGGAAUUUCGCUAACUCCUCCGAAGGCUUUCGUUCCACCGGCACCACAUUUGCUCAGGCCAAUCUACACCCCAUGGCCAUUAAAAGUUAUUCAAAUCAUGACGCUGCACCCCACGGUUUAGGUUCUAGGGGGCGCCAAAGAUAACCCUAAAAUCCACAUAUUUCAAAGUCUUAUAACUUUUUAUUUUUGCCCUCACUGGCCUCCAAGUUUUCUAGGAUGAUGCAAUGUCCAGCCAUCAACACAUUUGUGAAGGAAUUUUUACUCCCCAAAAGAGCGCCCCCCCAUGGCAGGAGAAAAAAGUCCAUUUUUUCUUGUCCCAUAAGGUGAAAAUUCACACUAUUGACUGUCACGCCUGUACGCUUUGGCAAAAUGACACAAAAAUUGACACACACAUGUAUCUCAAUAAGAUCUACGAAAAAGUCAAUGCGCGCGUAUCUGUCAAAUGUACGGUUAAAGGGUUAUUCCGCAUUUUUUGCCGAUCCGCACACAUUGGAAUUUCGCUAACUCCUCCGAAGGCUUUCGUUCCACCGGCACCACAUUUGCUCAGGCCAAUCUACACCCCAUGGCCAUUAAAAGUUAUUCAAAUCAUGACGCUGCACCCCACGGUUUAGGUUCUAGGGGGAGCCAAAGAUAACCGUAAAAUCCACAUAUUUAAAAGUCUUAUAACUUUUUAUUUUUGUCCCCACUGGCCUCCAAGUUUUCUAGGAUGAUGCAAUGUCCAGCCAUCAACACAUUUGUGAAGGAAUUUUUACUCGCCAAAAGAGCGCCCCCCCAUGGCAGGAGAAAAAAGUCCAUUUUUUCUUGUCCACUAAGGUGAAAAUACACAUUGUUGAGUGCUACGCCUGUAUGUUUUGUCGUAUUGACACAAAAUUUUACAUACACGUGUAUUUACAUAAGAUCUUCGAAAAAGUCAAUGGCCACGUAUCUGUAAAAUGUACGGUUAAAGGGUUAUUUCGCAUUUUUUGCAGAUUCGCACACAUUGGAAUUUCGCUAAUUCCUCCGAAGGCUUUCGUUCCACCGGCACCACAUUUGCUCAGGCCAAUCUACACCCCAUGGCCAUUAAAAGUUAUUCAAAUCAUGACGCUGCACCCCACGGUUUAGGUUCUAGGGGGCGCCAAAUAUAACCCUAAAAUCCACAUAUUUAAAAGUCUUAUAACUUUUUAUUUUUGUCCUCACUGGCCUCCAUGUUUUCUAGGAUGAUGCAAUGUCCAGCCAUCAACACAUUUGUGAAGGAGUUUUUUCUCUUUAAAAGAGUGCCCCCCCAUGGCAGGAGAAUAAAGUCAAGUUUUUCCUGUUCAUCAUUCAAUGGCUCAAACGCACUGCUCUCUCGGCAAAAGCGAAAGGAGGAGCAACUUGCCAUUUGGAUAUAUCUUAGCUGUGUUUGUGCCCUCACUCAUGGUCCAGACUUUUUUCAAAUAGGACAUGGAGUUUUUCUGCAGCGAGCGUUUUGGUAGAAACUGCGCCUCCCGUUCAUUAUAAUGGUAAAUGACCACAAACAAGUGCGCACACCAUCUUUGGACCUUGAGUGUGACGCGAUCGGGUGGGGGAGGCGGUCGCGCUGGGGGCGGCGUGACACGGCUCGGGCCCGCCAGUGCCCCAACGGGGCCCUAGUUAUUAUUUUUCCUCCCCUUUGAACUGGAAAAUGGCCCACUUCCCACUGGCGAAAACUCAUGAAAUUUGGCAGGACGACCGGGCCUGGUGAAAAAUUUGAUAUUCCGAAGUCGCCCAAACCAGAAAAUGCAAAAUGGCUCCAUAGCGCCCCCUAAGGUGAAAAUUCACACUAUUCACUGUCACGCCUGUACGCUUUGUCAAAAUGACACAAAAAUUGACACACACAUGUAUCUCAAUAAGAUCUACAAAAAAGUCAGUGCGGGCGUAUCUGUCAAAUGUACGGUUAAAGGGUUAUUUCGCAUUUUUUGCCGAUCCGCACACAUUGGAAUUUCGCUAACUCCUCCGAAGGCUUUCGUUCCACCGGCACCACAUUUGCUCAGGCCAAUCUACACCCCAUGGCCAUUAAAAGUUAUUCAAAUCAUGACGCUGCACCCCACGGUUUAGGUUCUAGGGGGCGCCAAAGAUAACCCUAAGAUCCACAUAUUUAAAAGUCUUAUAACUUUUUAUUUUUGCCCUCACUGGCCUCCAAGUUUUCUAGGAUGAUGCAAUGUCCAGCCAUCAACACAUUUGUGAAGGAAUUUUUACUCCCCAAAAGAGCGCCCCCCCAUGGCAGGAGAAAAAAGUCCAUUUUUUCUUGUCCCCUAAGGUGAAAAUACACAUUGUUGAGUGUAACACCUGUACGCUUUGGCAAAAUGACACAAAAAUUGACACACACAUGUAUCUCAAUAAGAUCUACGAAAAAGUCAAUGCGCGCGUAUCUGUCAAAUGUACGGUUAAAGGGUUAUUCCGCAUUUUUUGCCGAUCCGCACACAUUGGAAUUUCGCUAACUCCUCCGAAGGCUUUCGUUCCACCGGCACCACAUUUGCUCAGGCCAGUCUACACCCCAUGGCCAUUAAAAGUUAUUCAAAUCAUGACGCUGCACCCCACGGUUUAGGUUCUAGGGGGAGCCAAAGAUAACCGUAAAAUCCACAUAUUUAAAAGUCUUAUAACUUUUUAUUUUUGUCCCCACUGGCCUCCAAGUUUUCUAGGAUGAUGCAAUGUCCAGCCAUCAACACAUUUGUGAAGGAAUUUUUACUCCCCAAAAGAGCGCCCCCCCAUGGCAGGAGAAAAAAGUCCAUUUUUUCUUGUCCACUAAGGUGAAAAUACACAUUGUUGAGUGCUACGCCUGUAUGUUUUGUCGUAUUGACACAAAAUUUUACAUACACGUGUAUUUCAAUAAGAUCUUCGAAAAAGUCAAUGGCCACGUAUCUGUAAAAUGUACGGUUAAAGGGUUAUUUCGCAUUUUUUGCAGAUUCGCACACAUUGGAAUUUCGCUAAUUCCUCCGAAGGCUUUCGUUCCACCGGCACCACAUUUGCUCAGGCCAAUCUACACCCCAUGGCCAUUAAAAGUUAUUCAAAUCAUGACGCUGCACCCCACGGUUUAGGUUCUAGGGGGCGCCAAAUAUAACCCUAAAAUCCACAUAUUUAAAAGUCUUAUAACUUUUUAUUUUUGUCCUCACUGGCCUCCAUGUUUUCUAGGAUGAUGCAAUGUCCAGCCAUCAACACAUUUGUGAAGGAGUUUUUUCUCUUUAAAAGAGCGCCCCCCCAUGGCAGGAGAAUAAAGUCAAGUUUUUCCUGUUCAUCAUUCAAUGGCUCAAACGCACUGCUCUCUCGGCAAAAGCGAAAGGAGGAGCAACUUGCCAUUUGGAUAUAUCUUAGCUGUGUUUGUGCCCUCACUCAUGGUCCAGACUUUUUUCAAAUAGGACAUGGAGUUUUUCUGCAGCGAGCGUUUUGGUAGAAACUGCGCGUCCCGUUCAUUAUAAUGGUAAAUGACCACAAACAAGUGCGCACACCAUCUUUGGACCUUGAGUGUGACGCGAUCUGGUGGGGGAGGCGGUCGCGCUGGGGGCGGCGUGACACGGCUCGGGCCCGCCAGUGCCCCAACGGGGCCCUAGUCUUUGUUUCUUUCUUUCUUCUUUUUCCUCCCCUUUGAACUGGAAAAUGGCCCACUUCCCACUGGCGAAAACUCAUGAAAUUUGGCAGGACGACCGGGCCUGGUGAAAAAUUCGAUAUUCUGAAGUCGCCCAAACAAUAAAAUGCAAAAUGGCUCCAUAGCGCCCCCUAAGGUGGAAAUUCACACUAUUGACUGUCACGCCUGUACGCUUUGUCAUAUUGACACAAAAAUUGACACACAUAUGUAUCUCAAUAAGAUCUACAAAAAAGUCAGUGCGGCCGUAUCUGUCAAAAUUACGGUUAAAGGGUUAUUUCGCAUUUUUUGCCGAUCCGCACACAUUGGAAUUUCGCUAACUCCUCCGAAGGCUUUCGUUCCACCGGCACCACAUUUGCUCAGGCCAAUCUACACCCCGUGGCCAUUAAAAGUUAUCAAAAUCAUGACGCUGCACCCCAAGGUUUAGAUUCUAGGGGGCGCCAAAGAUAACACUAAAAUCCACAUAUUUAAAAGUCUUAUAACUUUUUAUUUUUGUCCUCACUGGCCUCCAAGUUUUCUAGGAUGAUGCAAUGUCCAGCCAUCAACACAUUUGUGAAGGAAUUUUUACUCCCCAAAAGAGCGCCCCCCAUGGCAGGAGAAAAAAGUCCAUUUUUUCUUGUCCCCUAAGGUGAAAAUACACAUUGUUGAGUGUCAAGCCUAUACGCUUUGUCAAAAUGACACAAAAAUUGACACACACAUGUAACUCAAUAAGAUCUACAAAAAAGUCCAUGCGCGCGUAUCUGUCAAAUGUACAGUUAAAGGGUUAUUCCGCAUUUUUUGCCGAUACGCACACAUUGGAAUUUCGCUAACUCCUCCGAAGGCUUUCGUUCCACCGGCACCACAUUUGCUCAGGCCAAUCUACACCCCAUGGCCAUUAAAAGUUAUUCAAAUCAUGAUGCUGCACCCCAUGGUUUAGGUUCUAGGGGGCGCCAAAAAUAACCCAAAAAUCCACAUUCUUAAAUGUUUUAUAACUUUUUAUUUUUGUCCUCACUGGCCUCCAAGUUUUCUAGGAUGAUGCAAUGUCCAGCCAUCAACACAUUUGUGAAGGAAUUUUUACUCCCCAAAAGAGCGCCCCCCCAUGGUAGGAGAAAAAAGUCAAUUUUUUCUUGUCCCCUUACAUAAAAAUACACAUUGUUGAGUGUCACGCCUGAACGCUUUGUCAUAUUGACACAAAAAUUGACAAUCAUGUGUAUCUCAAUUAGAUCUACGAAAAAGUCAAAGAGCGCGUAUCUGUAUAAUGUACGGUUAAAGGGCUAUUUUGCAUUUUUUGCCGAUUCGCACACAUUGGAAUGUGGCUAUCUCCUCCUAAGGCUUUCGUCCCACCGAUACCAAAUUUGCUCAGGGCAAUCUACACCCCAUGCCCAUUCAAAGUUGUAAAAAUCAUGACGCUGCACCCCACGGUUUACGUUCUAGGGGGCGCCAAAGAUGACCCAAAAAUCCACAUUCUUAAAAGUCAUUUUGGCCACUGCAGGAGUACAGAGUACUGCAGUUCUAGGGGGCGCCAAAGAUGACCCAAAAAUCCACAUUCUUAAAAGUCUUUUUGGCCACUGCAGGAGUACAGAGUACUGCAGGAUACACACACAUAUACACACACGCCAACAUACACACACACACACACACACACACACACACACACACACACACAGACACACACCCACACUCAGAGUCUGGUUUUUAGCACCUGCAAAAACAUGCUGUUUACAUAUUUGACAAGAAUGCAGAGGCUCCUUUUGCCCCUGAAAAAAAUCAAAUUUCAAACACAACUUGACUGUUCAUUUCUCCAAAAGACAACCAUGAAGCUCCAUUUUAAACCUGAAGCAGAUAGUUGGUGCAUGUGUACAGUAACCUGAGGGGAGUGAGGUGACUAUUUCUGAGGAGAACAUGAGCAGUGAAGAUUCACCUUGGAGCUAGAACAGGGACGUGCACAUGAUUAUACAGGGGCAGGGGCUCAAGUUUUUUCCAGUCAUUUAUACAAUAUGGAAAUUAAUGUGAAAUUAAACCACAAAUAUGUGUGAUGAACUGUUUUUAAAACUUAAACUUCAAAUAAAAAUUGUAAACUUCAAAACAUAUGCAAAUUUUUAACAAAGAACAUAGUAAUUUACCUCUAUUUACAUCAAAAUGCAGGCAAUGGCCCAGGCGUUCUUUGUAAAAUUAUUUACAAAACACUGUAUAGUCUCACAAAUGUCACUUUUUAUUUAUGCCACUACAAAAAAACAUGAUGUAAAUGAUGCAUGAUGUAAAACAUGAUGUAAAAAACUUGUGUAGAUCCUCCUCUAUGUCAGUCCAUGUGUAAUUUUUCCAUAAUUCUUUGUUUUUUGCAGCAUUUUUGUUAGUGUAACUGCAGAUUGUGCUGACAGUGUCUAUGGCACAAAAAAAAAAAAAUUUUUAAUGCCUCAACAUGAACCCGUGGUGGUCUCUGAGGGUGAAACCUGCUAACUGCUGCAGCUCUGUCAGCUUCAGUCUCCCAUGCAGAGCUCUGAGCGCAUGUGUGGCUCUGCACCCUUAGCAGCGUUGCUAACUCCUCAGUAUGGAAAGCCUGCUUCAUGUCAGAGUCUCUAAACUCCAGAAGAAGUCGAUAAAAGUCCCUUUCUUUCUAAAAAAAAGUCGUUAGGGGGUCUGAAAAGUCAUUGAAUCUAACAACAAAGUCGCUAGGUUUGCAACUACGUGUCCCAGACUGCAUCCCUGCUGAGAGUCCCUCCCUCCCUUCUCAUGUUGCAGGAAGAACGUAAGCGCCCCCCUUGUCAAUCAGUCACCAUAUAAUUUUGGAUUGGUUGUUGUGGUGAAGUUUUCCACCAAUAGGAGAGAUGUUGUGGUGUGUUUUUUUUUUCUUUUGGCAAGCCUUUUCCGCCUGUAAGAACUGUCGCUAAUGUCUGCAUGCUAUGUUUUCCUGUCUCAUACAGCGCGAUCGAGCGCCGAACGUGAUCAAAAUAAGCAGAAAAAAAAUAUCGCGGACAUAAUUUAUCAUAACUCUGGUUUUAUUUGGCCUAUCAACACAAUUUAAAAACUGGUAUAUAGGUUGAGGUCCUCACUUUUGAGAUAAGUUGAAACGGAGAGUCAACGAGGCUCCGUCUUGCAGCUACAUCCGGUUAAAUAUGUCAUGUGACUUGAACGCACACACAGACACACACACACGCACACGCACGCACACACACACACACACACACACACACACACACACACACACACACACACACUCAGAGUCUGGUUUUUAGCACCUGCAAAAACAUGCUAUUUACAUAUUUGACAAGAAUGCAGAGGCUCCUUUUGCCCCUGAAAAAAAUCAAAUUUCAAACACAACUUGACUGGUCAUUUCUCCAAAAGACAACCAUGAAGCUCCAUCCAAACCUGAAGCAGGCAGUUGGUGCAUGUGUACAGUAACCUGAGGGGAGUGAGGUGAGUGCUUCUGAGGAGAACAUGAGCAGUGAAGAUUCACCUUGGAGCUAGAACAGAGACAUGCACAUGAUUAUACAGGGGCAGGGGCUCAAGUUUUUUCCAGUCGUUUAUACAAUAUGGAAAUUAAUGUGAAAUUAAAACACAAAGUAUUAAUAGAAAGGUAAUGACUGUCCUGUGUAGGUGACAGUGAUAUCCAAUAGGCUAGGCACUCACGAGGCUGGCUGUGGCAAGUGUAAGUGAAAGCAACACGCACUGGCAGGAAGAACAGCAAACGCCGAUGAAGGAAAAGGGUCUUUGCAGUGAUGGGCGUUACCAGAGAGGGCGAUGGCCAGAGGACACAAAUGGGACGGGGAGGCAGCACGUUGGGGGGGGGGGGGGGGGGGGACGCGACACGGCUCGGGCCCGCCAGUGCCCCAACGGGGUCCUAGUUAUUAGGGCCCGAGCGUAGCUGCUAAGCAGCUGCGAGAGCCCUAUUAUUCCCCAAGUGGUUUUUCUUUGUUUCUUUUUUCUUUUUCCUCCCCUUUGAACUGGAAAAUGGCCCACUUCCCACUGGCGAAAACUCAGGAAAUUUGGCAGGACGACCGGGCCUGGUGAAAAAUUUGAUAUUCCGAAGUCGCCCAAACAAGAAAAUGCAAAAUGGCUCCAUAGCGCCCCCUAAGGUGAAAAUUCACACUAUUGACUGUCACGCCUGUACGCUUUGUCAAAAUGACACAAAAAUUGACACACACAUGUAUCUCAAUAAGAUCUACAAAAAAGUCAGUGCGGGCGUAUCUGUCAAAUGUACGGUUAAAGGGUUAUUUUGCAUUUUUUGCCGAUCCGCACACAUUGGAAUUUCGCUAACUCCUCCGAAGGCUUUCGUUCCACCGGCACCACAUUUGCUCAGGCCAAUCUACACCCCAUGGCCAUUAAAAGUUAUUCAAAUCAUGACGCUGCACCCCACGGUUUAGGUUCUAGGGGGCGCCAAAGAUAACCCUAAAAUCCACAUUUUUAAAAGUCUUAUAACUUUUUAUUUUUGCCCUCACUGGCCUCCAAGUUUUCUAGGAUGAUGCAAUGUCCAGCCAUCAACACAUUUGUGAAGGAAUUUUUACUCCCCAAAAGAGCGCCCCCCCAUGGCAGGAGAAAAAAGUCCAUUUUUUCUUGUCCCCUAAGGUGAAAAUACACAUUGUUGAGUGUCACGCCUGUACGCUUUGUCAAAAUGACACAAAAAUUGACACACACAUGUAUCUCAAUAAGAUCUACAAAAAAGUCAAUGCGCGCGUAUCUGUCUAAUGUACGGUUAAAGGGUUAUUCCGCAUUUUUUGCCGAUUCGCACACAUUGGAAUUUCGCUAACUCCUCCGAAGGCUUUCGUUCCACCGGCACCACAUUUGCUCAGGCCAAAUUACACCCCAUGGCCAUUAAAAGUUAUUCAAAUCAUGACGCUGCAUCCCACGGUUUACGUUCUAGGGGGCGCCAAAGAUAACCCAAAAAUCCACAUUUUUAAAAGUCUUAUAACUUUUUAUUUUUGUCCUCACUGGCCUCCAAGUUUUCUAGGAUGAUGCAAUGUCCAGCCAUCAACACAUUUGUGAAGGAAUUUUUACUCCCUAAAAGAGCGCCCCCCCAUGGCAGGAGAAAAAAGUCCAUUUUUUCUUGUCCCCUAAGGUGAAAAUACACAUUGUUGACUGUCACGCCUGUACGCUUUGGCAAAAUGACACAAAAAUUGACAAUCAUGUGUAUCUCAAUUAGAUCUACGAAAAAGUCAAAGAGCGCGUAUCUGUAUAAUGUACGGUAAAAGGGCUAUUUUGCAUUUUUUGCCGAUUCGCACACAUUGGAAUUUCGCUAACUCCUCCUAAGGCUUUCGUCCCACUGACACCAAAUUUGCUCAGGCCAAUCUACACUCCAUGGCCAUUCAAAGUUGUAAAAAUCAUGACGCUGCACCCCACGGUUUACGUUUUAGGGGGCGCCAAAGAUGACCCAAAUAUACAUUACAGUAGACAAAGUAGUUUUGCCCACUGAGUGGCGCCAAAGGGACUUGUCUGUGGAGUCUGUGAGUCACUAUUGGCCGUUUUUGACUACUUUAGAUUUUACCUUUAUAUUUCCUCUUACAAAAUUUUUACCUUGCCUUGCCUGGUAUCAUUUUUUUCAGCACAACCUCACCUGUGUCAAUUUACAGUUAUUUUAUCAUUUUGACAUACUAUAUUUACACAUUGGACCCAAAUUCACACACAAAACAUAAAAUCCGAGUGGAAAAAAGUAACGUUUUUACUGUGAAAACCACAAAUAUGUGUGAUGAACUGUUUUUAAAACUUAAACUUCAAAUAAAAAUUGUAAACUUCAAAACAUAUGCAAAUUUUUAACAAAGAACAUAGUAAUUUACCUCUAUUGACAUCAAAAUGCAGGCAAUGGCCCAGGCGUUCUUUGUAAAAUUAUUUACAAAACACUGUAUAGUCUCACAAAUGUCACUUUUUAUUUAUGCCACUACAAAAAAACAUGAUGUAAAUGAUGCAUGAUGUAAAACAUGAUGUAAAAAACUUGUGUAGAUCCUCCUCUAUGUUAGUCCAUGUGUAAUUUUUCCAUAAUUCUUUGUUUUUUGCAGCAUUUUUGUUAGUGUAACUGCAGAUUGUGCUGACAGUGUCUGUGGCAAAAAAAAAAAAAAAAAACUGAAAAUGCCUCAACAUGAACCCCUGGUGGUCUCUGAGGGUGAAACCUGCUAACUGCUGCAGCUCUGUCAGCUUCAGUCUCCCAUGCAGAGCUCGGAGCGCAUGUGUGGCUCUGCACCCUUAGCAGCGUUGCUAACUCCUCAGUAAGGAAAGCCUGCUUCAUGUCAGAGUCUCUAAACUCCAGAAGUCGAUAAAAGUCACUUUCUUUCUAAAAAAAAAGUCGUUAGGGGGUCUGAAAAGUCAUUGAAUCUAACAACAAAGUCGCUAGGUUUGCAACUACGUGUCCCAGACUGCAUCCCUGCUGAGAGUCCCUCCCUCCCUUCUCAUAUUGCAGGAAGAACGUAAGCGCCCGCCCCUUGUCAAUCAGUCACCAUAUAAUUUUGGAUUGGUUGUUGUGGUGAAGUUUUCCACCAAUAGGAGAGAUGUUGUGGUGUGUUUUUUUCUUUUCCUUUGGCAAGCCUUUUCCGCCUGUAAGACCUGUCGCUAAUGUCUGCAUGCUAUGUUUUCCUGUCUCAUACAGCGCGAUCGAGCGCCGAACGUGAUCAAAAUAAGCAGAAAACAAGUAUCGCGGACAUAAUUUAUCAUAACUCUGGUUUUAUUUGGCCUAUCAACACAAUUUAAAAACUGGUAUAUAGGUUGAGGUCCUCACUUUUGAGAUAAGUUGAAACGGAGAGUCAACGAGGCUCCGUCUUGCAGCUACAUCCGGUUAAAUAUGUCAUGUGACUUGAACGCACACACACACACACACACACACACACACACACAGACACACACACACACGCACACACACACCGUCUUGCAGCUACAUCCGGUUAAAUAUGUCAUGUGACUUGAACGCACACACACACACACACACACACACACACACACAGACACACACACACACGCACACUCAGAGUCUGGUUUUUAGCACCUGCAAAAACAUGCUAUUUACAUAUUUGACAAGAAUGCAGAGGCUUCCUUUUGCCCCUGAAAAAAAAUCAAAUUUCAAACACAACUUGACUGCUCAUUUCUCCAAAAGACAACCAUGAAGCUCCAUCCAAACCUGAAGCAGGCAGUUGGUGCAUGUGUACAGUAACCUGAGGGGAGUGAGGUGACUGCUUCUGAGGAGAACAUGAGCAGUGAAGAUUCACCUUGGAGCUAGAACAGGGACGUGUACAUGAUUAUACAGGGGCAGGGGCUCAAGUUUUUUCCAGUCGUUUAUACAAUAUGGAAAUUAAUGUGAAAUUAAAAAACAAAGUAUUAAUAGAAAGGUAAUGACUGUCCUGUGUAGGUGACAGUGAUAUCCAAUAGGCUAGGCACUCACGAGGCUGGCUGUGGCAAGUGUAAGUGAAAGCAACACGCACUGGCAGGAAGAACAGCAAACGCCGAUGAAGGAAAAGGGUCUUUGUAGUGAUGGGCGUUACCAGAGAGGGCGAUGGCCAGAGGACGCGAAUGGGACGGGGAGGCAGCGCGUUGGGGGGGGGGGCGCGACACGGCUCGGGCCCGCCAGUGCCCCAACGGGGCCCUAGUUAUUUUUCCUCCCCUUUGAACUGGAAAAUGGCCCACUUCCCACUGGCGAAAACUCAUGAAAUUUGGCAGGACGACCGGGCCUGGUGAAAAAUUUGAUAUUCCGAAGUCGCCCAAACAAGAAAAUGCAAAAUGGCUCCAUAGCGCCCCCUAAGGUGAAAAUUCACACUAUUGACUGUCACGCCUGUACGCUUUGUCAAAAUGACACAAAAAUUGACACACACAUGUAUCUCAAUAAGAUCUACAAAAAAGUCAGUGCGGGCGUAUCUGUCAAAUGUACGGUUAAAGGGUUAUUUCGCAUUUUUUGCCGAUCCGCACACAUUGGAAUUUCGCUAACUCCUCCGAAGGCUUUCGUUCCACCGGCACCACAUUUGCUCAGGCCAAUCUACACCCCAUGGCCAUUAAAAGUUAUUCAAAUCAUGACGCUGCACCCCACGGUUUAGGUUCUAGGGGGCGCCAAAGAUAACCCUAAGAUCCACAUAUUUAAAAGUCUUAUAACUUUUUAUUUUUGCCCUCACUGGCCUCCAAGUUUUCUAGGAUGAUGCAAUGUCCAGCCAUCAACACAUUUGUGAAGGAAUUUUUACUCCCCAAAAGAGCGCCCCCCCAUGGCAGGAGAAAAAAGUCCAUUUUUUCUUGUCCCCUAAGGUGAAAAUACACAUUGUUGAGUGUAACACCUGUACGCUUUGGCAAAAUGACACAAAAAUUGACACACACAUGUAUCUCAAUAAGAUCUACGAAAAAGUCAACGCGCGCGUAUCUGUCAAAUGUACGGUUAAAGGGUUAUUCCGCAUUUUUUGCCGAUCCGCACACAUUGGAAUUUCGCUAACUCCUCCGAAGGCUUUCGUUCCACCGGCACCACAUUUGCUCAGGCCAAUCUACACCCCAUGGCCAUUAAAAGUUAUUCAAAUCAUGACGCUGCACCCCACGGUUUAGGUUCUAGGGGGAGCCAAAGAUAACCGUAAAAUCCACAUAUUUAAAAGUCUUAUAACUUUUUAUUUUUGUCCCCACUGGCCUCCAAGUUUUCUAGGAUGAUGCAAUGUCCAGCCAUCAACACAUUUGUGAAGGAAUUUUUACUCGGCAAAAGAGCGCCCCCCCAUGGCAGGAGAAAAAAGUCAAUUUUUUCUUGUCCACUAAGGUGAAAAUACACAUUGUUGAGUGCUACGCCUGUAUGUUUUGUCGUAUUGACACAAAAUUUUACAUACACGUGUAUUUCAAUAAGAUCUUCGAAAAAGUCAAUGGCCACGUAUCUGUAAAAUGUACGGUUGAAGGGUUAUUUCGCAUUUUUUGCAGAUUCGCACACAUUGGAAUUUCGCUAAUUCCUCCGAAGGCUUUCGUUCCACCGGCACCACAUUUGCUCAGGCCAAUCUACACCCCAUGGCCAUUAAAAGUUAUUCAAAUCAUGACGCUGCACCCCACGGUUUAGGUUCUAGGGGGCGCCAAAGAUAACCCUAAAAUCCACAUAUUUAAAAGUCUUAUAACUUUUUAUUUUUGUCCUCACUGGCCUCCAUGUUUUCUAGGAUGAUGCAAUGUCCAGCCAUCAACACAUUUGUGAAGGAGUUUUUUCUCUUUAAAAGAGCGCCCCCCCAUGGCAGGAGAAUAAAGUCAAGUUUUUCCUGUUCAUCAUUCAAUGGCUCAAACGCACUGCUCUCUCGGCAAAAGCGAAAGGAGGAGCAACUUGCCAUUUGGAUAUAUCUUAGCUGUGUUUGUGCCCUCACUCAUGGUCCAGACUUUUUUCAAAUAGGACAUGGAGUUUUUCUGCAGCGAGCGUUUUGGUAGAAACUGCGCCUCCCGUUCAUUACAAUGGUAAAUGACCACAAACAAGUGCACACACCAUCUUUGGACCUUGAGUGUGACGCGAUCGGGUGGGGGAGGCGGUCGCGCUGGGGGCGGCGUGACACGGCUCGGGCCCGCCAGUGCCCCAACGGGGCCCUAGUUAUUAUUAUUUUUCCUCCCCUUUGAACUGGAAAAUGGCCCACUUCCCACUGGCGAAAACUCAUGAAAUUUGGCAGGACGACCGGGCCUGGUGAAAAAUUUGAUAUUCCGAAGUCGCCCAAACAAGAAAAUGCAAAAUGGCUCCAUAGCGCCCCCUAAGGUGAAAAUUCACACUAUUGACUGUCACGCCUGUACGCUUUGUCAAAAUGACACAAAAAUUGACACACACAUGUAUCUCAAUAAGAUCUACAAAAAAGUCAGUGCGGGCGUAUCUGUCAAAUGUACGGUUAAAGGGUUAUUUCGCAUUUUUUGCCGAUCCGCACACAUUGGAAUUUCGCUAACUCCUCCGAAGGCUUUCGUUCCACCGGCACCACAUUUGCUCAGGCCAAUCUACACCCCAUGGCCAUUAAAAGUUAUUCAAAUCAUGACGCUGCACCCCACGGUUUAGGUUCUAGGGGGCGCCAAAGAUAACCCUAAGAUCCACAUAUUUAAAAGUCUUAUAACUUUUUAUUUUUGCCCUCACUGGCCUCCAAGUUUUCUAGGAUGAUGCAAUGUCCAGCCAUCAACACAUUUGUGAAGGAAUUUUUACUCCCCAAAAGAGCGCCCCCCAUGGCAGGAGAAAAAAGUCCAUUUUUUCUUGUCCCCUAAGGUGAAAAUACACAUUGUUGAGUGUAACACCUGUACGCUUUGGCAAAAUGACACAAAAAUUGACACACACAUGUAUCUCAAUAAGAUCUACGAAAAAGUCAACGCGCGCGUAUCUGUCAAAUGUACGGUUAAAGGGUUAUUCCGCAUUUUUUGCCGAUCCGCACACAUUGGAAUUUCGCUAACUCCUCCGAAGGCUUUCGUUCCACCGGCACCACAUUUGCUCAGGCCAAUCUACACCCCAUGGCCAUUAAAAGUUAUUCAAAUCAUGACGCUGCACCCCACGGUUUAGGUUCUAGGGGGAGCCAAAGAUAACCGUAAAAUCCACAUAUUUAAAAGUCUUAUAACUUUUUAUUUUUGUCCCCACUGGCCUCCAAGUUUUCUAGGAUGAUGCAAUGUCCAGCCAUCAACACAUUUGUGAAGGAAUUUUUACUCGGCAAAAGAGCGCCCCCCAUGGCAGGAGAAAAAAGUCAAUUUUUUCUUGUCCACUAAGGUGAAAAUACACAUUGUUGAGUGCUACGCCUGUAUGUUUUGUCGUAUUGACACAAAAUUUUACAUACACGUGUAUUUCAAUAAGAUCUUCGAAAAAGUCAAUGGCCACGUAUCUGUAAAAUGUACGGUUGAAGGGUUAUUUCGCAUUUUUUGCAGAUUCGCACACAUUGGAAUUUCGCUAAUUCCUCCGAAGGCUUUCGUUCCACCGGCACCACAUUUGCUCAGGCCAAUCUACACCCCAUGGCCAUUAAAAGUUAUUCAAAUCAUGACGCUGCACCCCACGGUUUAGGUUCUAGGGGGCGCCAAAGAUAACCCUAAAAUCCACAUAUUUAAAAGUCUUAUAACUUUUUAUUUUUGUCCUCACUGGCCUCCAUGUUUUCUAGGAUGAUGCAAUGUCCAGCCAUCAACACAUUUGUGAAGGAGUUUUUUCUCUUUAAAAGAGCGCCCCCCAUGGCAGGAGAAUAAAGUCAAGUUUUUCCUGUUCAUCAUUCAAUGGCUCAAACGCACUGCUCUCUCGGCAAAAGCGAAAGGAGGAGCAACUUGCCAUUUGGAUAUAUCUUAGCUGUGUUUGUGCCCUCACUCAUGGUCCAGACUUUUUUCAAAUAGGACAUGGAGUUUUUCUGCAGCGAGCGUUUUGGUAGAAACUGCGCCUCCCGUUCAUUACAAUGGUAAAUGACCACAAACAAGUGCACACACCAUCUUUGGACCUUGAGUGUGACGCGAUCGGGUGGGGGAGGCGGUCGCGCUGGGGGCGGCGUGACACGGCUCGGGCCCGCCAGUGCCCCAACGGGGCCCUAGUUUGUUAUUAUUAGGGCCCGAGCGUAGCUGCUAAGCAGCUGCGAGAGCCCUAUUAUUCCCCAAGUGGUUUUUCUUUGUUUCUUUUUUCUUUUUCCUCCCCUUUGAACUGGAAAAUGGCCCACUUCCCACAGGCGAAAACUCAUGAAAUUUGGCAGGACGACCGGGCCUGGUGAAAAAUUUGAUAUUCUGAAGUUGCCCAAACAAUACAAUGCAAAAUGGCUCCAUAGCGCCCCCUAGGGUGAAAAAUUCACCUGACGCCUGUACGCUUUGUCAAAAUGACACAAAAAUUGACACACACAUGUAUCUCAAUAAGAUCUACAAAAAAGUCAGUGCGGGCGUAUCUGUCAAAUGUACGGUUAAAGGGUUAUUGCGCAUUUUUUGCCGAUCCGCACACAUUGGAAUUUCGCUAACUCCUCCGAAGGCUUUCGUUCCACCGGCACCACAUUUGCUCAGGCCAAUCUACACCCCAUGGCCAUUAAAAGUUAUUCAAAUCAUGACGCUGCACCCCACGGUUUAGGUUCUAGGGGGCGCCAAAGAUAACCCUAAAAUCCACAUAUUUCAAAGUCUUAUAACUUUUUAUUUUUGCCCUCACUGGCCUCCAAGUUUUCUAGGAUGAUGCAAUGUCCAGCCAUCAACACAUUUGUGAAGGAAUUUUUACUCCCCAAAAGAGCGCCCCCCCAUGGCAGGAGAAAAAAGUCCAUUUUUUCUUGUCCCAUAAGGUGAAAAUUCACACUAUUGACUGUCACGCCUGUACGCUUUGUCAAAAUUACACAAAAAUUGACACACACAUGUAUCUCAAUAAGAUCUACAAAAAAGUCAAUGCGCGCGUAUCUGUCAAAUGUACGGUUAAAGGGUUAUUCCGCAUUUUUUGCCGAUCCGCACACAUUGGAAUUUCGCUAACUCCUCCGAAGGCUUUCGUUCCACCGGCACCACAUUUGCUCAGGCCAAUCUACACCCCAUGGCCAUUAAAAGUUAUUCAAAUCAUGAUGCUGCACCCCACGGUUUAGGUUCUAGGGGGCGCCAAAGAUAACCCUAAAAUCCACAUAUUUAAAAGUCUUAUAACUUUUUAUUUUUGUCCUCUCUGGCCUCCAAGUUUUCUAGGAUGAUGCAAUGUCCAGCCAUCAACACAUUUGUGAAGGAAUUUUUACUCCCCAAAAGAGCGCCCCCCCAUGGCAGGAGAAAAAAGUCAAUUUUUUCUUGUCCCCUUACAUGAAAAUACACAUUGUUGAGUGUCACGCCUGAACGCUUUGUCAUAUUGACACAAAAAUUGACAAUCAUGUGUAUCUCAACUAGAUCUACGAAAAAGUCAAUGCGCGCGUAUCUGUAUAAUGUACGGUUAAAGGGCUAUUUCGCAUUUUUUGCCGAUUCGCACACAUUGGAAUGUGGCUAUCUCCUCCUAAGGCUUUCGUCCCACCGAUACCAAAUUUGCUCAGGGCAAUCUACACCCCAUGCCCAUUCAAAGUUGUAAAAAUCAUGACGCUGCACCCCACGGUUUACGUUCUAGGGGGCGCCAAAGAUGACCCAAAAAUCCACAUUCUUAAAAGUCAUUUUGGCCACUGCAGGAGUACAGAGUACUGCAGUUCUAGGGGGCGCCAAAGAUGACCCAAAAAUCCACAUUCUUAAAAGUCUUUUUGGCCACUGCAGGAGUACAGAGUACUGCAGGAUACACACACAUAUACACACACACACACACACACACACACACACACACACACACACACACACACACACACUCAGAGUCUGUUUUUUAGCACCUGCAAAAACAUGCUGUUUACAUAUUUGACAAGAAUGCAGAGGCUUCCUUUUGCCCCUGAAAAAAAUCAGAUUUCAAACACAACUUGACUGUUCAUUUCUCCAAAAGACAACCAUGAAGCUCCAUCCAAACCUGAAGCAGAUAGUUGGUGCAUGUGUACAGUAACCUGAGGGGAGUGAGGUGACUAUUUCUGAGGAGAACAUGAGCAGUGAAGAUUCACCUUGGAGCUAGAACAGGGACGUGCACAUGAUUAUACAGGGGCAGGGGCUCAAGUUUUUUCCAGUCAUUUAUACAAUAUGGAAAUUAAUGUGAAAUUAAACCACAAAUAUGUGUGAUGAACUGUUUUUAAAACUUAAACUUCAAAUAAAAAUUGUAAACUUCAAAACAUAUGCAAAUUUUUAACAAAGAACAUAGUAAUUUACCUCUAUUUACAUCAAAAUGCAGGCAAUGGCCCAGGCGUUCUUUGUAAAAUUAUUUACAAAACACUGUAUAGUCUCACAAAUGUCACUUUUUAUUUAUGCCACUACAAAAAAACAUGAUGUAAAUGAUGCAUGAUGUAAAACAUGAUGUAAAAAACUUGUGUAGAUCCUCCUCUAUGUCAGUCCAUGUGUAAUUUUUCCAUAAUUCUUUGUUUUUUGCAGCAUUUUUGUUAGUGUAACUGCAGAUUGUGCUGACAGUCUAUGGCAAAAAAAACAAAAACUGAAAAUGCCUCAACAUGAACCCCUGGUGGUCUCUGAGGGUGAAACCUGCUAACUGCUGCAGCUCUGUCAGCUUCAGUCUCCCAUGCAGAGCUCGGAGCGCAUGUGUGGCUCUGCACCCUUAGCAGCGUUGCUAACUCCUCAGUAAGGAAAGCCUGCUUCAUGUCAGAGUCUCUAAACUCCAGAAGAAGUCGAUAAAAGUCCCUUUCUUUCUAACAAAAGUUGUUAGGGGGUCUGAAAAGUAAUUGAAUCUAACAACAAAGUCGCUAGGUUUGCAACUACGUGUCCCAGACUGCAUCCCUGCUGAGAGUCCCUCCCUCCCUUCUCAUGUUGCAGGAAGAACGUAAGCGCCCGCCCCUUGUCAAUCAGUCACCAUAUAAUUUUGGAUUGGUUGUUGUGGUGAAGUUUUCCACCAAUAGGAGAGAUGUUGUGGUGUGUUUUUUUUUUCUUUUGGCAAGCCUUUUCCGCCUGUAAGACCUGUCGCUAAUGUCUGCAUGCUAUGUUUUCCUGUCUCAUACAGCGCGAUCGAGCGCCGAACGUGAUCAAAAUAAGCAGAAAAAAAGUAUCGCGGACAUAAUUUAUCAUAACUCUGGUUUUAUUUGGCCUAUCAACACAAUUUAAAAAAUGGUAUAUAGGUUGAGGUCCUCACUUUUGAGAUAAGUUGAAACGGAGAGUCAACGAGGCUCCGUCUUGCAGCUACAUCCGGUUAAAUAUGUCAUGUGACUUGAACGCACACACAGACACACACACACGCACACACACACACACACACACACUCAGAGUCUGGUUUUUAGCACCUGCAAAAACAUGCUAUUUACAUAUUUGACAAGAAUGCAGAGGCUCCUUUUGCCCCUGAAAAAAAAUCAAAUUUCAAACACAACUUGACUGGUCAUUUCUCCAAAAGACAACCAUGAAGCUCCAUCCAAACCUGAAGCAGGCAGUUGGUGCAUGUGUACAGUAACCUGAGGGGAGUGAGGUGAGUGCUUCUGAGGAGAACAUGAGCAGUGAAGAUUCACCUUGGAGCUAGAACAGAGACAUGCACAUGAUUAUACAGGGGCAGGGGCUCAAGUUUUUUCCAGUCGUCUAUACAAUAUGGAAAUUAAUGUGAAAUUAAAACACAAAGUAUUAAUAGAAAGGUAAUGACUGUCCUGUGUAGGUGACAGUGAUAUCCAAUAGGCUAGGCACUCACGAGGCUGGCUGUGGCAAGUGUAAGUGAAAGCAACACGCACUGGCAGGAAGAACAGCAAACGCCGAUGAAGAAAAAGGGUCUUUGCAGUGAUGGGCGUUACCAGAUAGGGCGAUGGCCAGAGGACACAAAUGGGACGGGGAGGCAGCACGUUGGGGGGGGGGGGGGGGGGGGACACGGCUCGGGCCCGCCAGUGCCCCAACGGGGUCCUAGUUCUUUGUUUCUUUCUUUCUUUCUUCUUUUUCCUCCCCUUUGAACUGGAAAAUGGCCCACUUCCCACUGGCGAAAACUCAUGAAAUUUGGCAGGACGACCGGGCCUGGUGAAAAAUUCGAUAUUCUGAAGUCGCCCAAACAAUAAAAUGCAAAAUGGCUCCAUAGCGCCCCCUAAGGUGGAAAUUCACACUAUUGACUGUCACGCCUGUACGCUUUGUCAAAAUGACACAAAAUUUGACACACAUAUGUAUCUCAAUAAGAUCUACAAAAAAGUCAGUGCGGGCGUAUCUGUCAAAUGUACAGUUAAAGGGCUAUUUCGCAUUUUUUGGCGAUCCACACACAUUGGAAUUUCGCUAACUCCUCCGAAGGCUUUUGUUCCACCGGCACCACAUUUGCUCAGGCCAAUCUACACCCCAUGGCCAUUAAAAGUUAUUCAAAUCAUGACGCUGCACCCCACGGUUUAGGUUCUAGGGGGCGCCAAAGAUAACCCUAAAAUCCACAUAUUUAAAAGUCUUAUAACUUUUUAUUUUUGUCCUCACUGGCCUCCAAGUUUUCUAGGAUGAUGCAAUGUCCAGCCAUCAACACAUUUAAGAAGGAAUUUUUACUCCCCAAAAGAGCGCCCCCCCAUGGCAGGAGAAAAAAGUCCAUUUUUUCUUGUCCCCUAAGGUGAAAAUACACAUUGUUGAGUGUCACGCCUGUACGCUUUGUCAAAAUGACACAAAAUUUGACACACAGGUGUAUCUCAAUAAGAUCUACAAAAAAGUCAGUGCGGGCGUAUCUGUCAAAUGUACGGUUAAAGGGCUAUUUCGCAUUUUUUGGCGAUCCACACACAUUGGAAUUUCGCUAACUCCUCCGAAGGCUUUUGUUCCACCGGCACCACAUUUGCUCAGGCCAAUCUACACCCCAUGGCCAUUAAAAGUUAUUCAAAUCAUGACGCUGCACCCCACGGUUUAGGUUCUAGGGGGCGCCAAAGAUAACCCUAAAAUCCACAUAUUUAAAAGUCUUAUAACUUUUUAUUUUUGUCCUCACUGGCCUCCAAUUUUUCUAGGAUGAUGCAAUGUCCAGCCAUCAACACAUUUGUGAAGGAAUUUUUACUCCCCAAAAGAGCGCCCCCCCAUGGCAGGAGAAAAAAGUCCAUUUUUUCUUGUCCCCUAAGGUGAAAAUACACAUUGUUGAGUGUCACGCCUGUACACUUUGUCAAAAUGACACAAAAUUUGACACACAGGUGUAUCUUAAUAAGAUCUACAAAAAAGUCAGUGCGGGCGUAUCUGUCAAAUGUACGGUUAAAGGGUUAUUCCGCAUUUUUUGCUGAUCCGCACACAUUGGAAUGUGGCUAACUCCUCCGAAGGCUUUUGUUCCACCGGCACCACAUUUGCUCAGGCCAAUCUACACCCCAUGGCCAUUAAAAGUUAUUCAAAUCAUGACGCUGCACCCCACGGUUUAGGUUCUAGGGGGCGCCAAAGAUGACCCAAAUAUCCACAUUUUUUGAAGUCUUAUAAUUUUUUAUUUUUGUCCUCACUGGCCUUUGGUCCCACUGACACCAAAUUUGCUCAGGCCAAUCUACACCCCAUGGCCAUUCAAAGUUGUACAAAUCAUGACGCUGCACCCCACGGACAACCAUGAAGCUCCAUCCAAACCUGAAGCAGGCAGUUGGUGCAUGUGUACAGUACCCUGAGGGGAGUGAGGUGACUGCUUCUGAGGAGAACAUGAGCAGUGAAGAUUCACCUUGGAGCUAGAACAGAGACGUGCACAUGAUUAUACAGGGGCAGGGGCUCAAGUUUUUUCCAGUCGUUUAUACAAUAUGGAAAUUAAUGUGAAAUUAAAAAACAAAGUAUUAAUAGAAAGGUAAUGACUGUCCUGUGUAGGUGACAGUGAUAUCCAAUAGGCUAGGCACUCACGAGGCUGGCUGUGGCAAGUGUAAGUGAAAGCAACACACACUGGCAGGAAGAACAGCAAACGCAGAUGAAGGAAAAGGGUCUUUGCAGUGAUGGGCGUUACCAGAGAGGGCGAUGGCCAGAGGACGCGAAUGGGACGGGGAGGCAGCGCGUUGGGGGGGGCGGCGCGACACGGCUCGGGCCCGCCAGUGCCCCAACGGGGCCCUAGUUAUUAUUAUUUUUCCUCCCCUUUGAACUGGAAAAUGGCCCACUUCCCACUGGCGAAAACUCAUGAAAUUUGGCAGGACGACCGGGCCUGGUGAAAAAUUUGAUAUUCCGAAGUCGCCCAAACAAGAAAAUGCAAAAUGGCUCCAUAGCGCCCCCUAAGGUGAAAAUUCACACUAUUCACUGUCACGCCGGUACGCUUUGUCAAAAUGACACAAAAAUUGACACACACAUGUAUCUCAAUAAGAUCUACAAAAAAGUCAGUGCGGGCGUAUCUGUCAAAUGUACGGUUAAAGGGUUAUUUCGCAUUUUUUGCCGAUCCGCACACAUUGGAAUUUCGCUAACUCCUCCGAAGGCUUUCGUUCCACCGGCACCACAUUUGCUCAGGCCAAUCUACACCCCAUGGCCAUUAAAAGUUAUUCAAAUCAUGACGCUGCACCCCACGGUUUAGGUUCUAGGGGGCGCCAAAGAUAACCCUAAGAUCCACAUAUUUAAAAGUCUUAUAACUUUUUAUUUUUGCCCUCACUGGCCUCCAAGUUUUCUAGGAUGAUGCAAUGUCCAGCCAUCAACACAUUUGUGAAGGAAUUUUUACUCCCCAAAAGAGCGCCCCCCCAUGGCAGGAGAAAAAAGUCCAUUUUUUCUUGUCCCCUAAGGUGAAAAUACACAUUGUUGAGUGUAACACCUGUACGCUUUGGCAAAAUGACACAAAAAUUGACACACACAUGUAUCUCAAUAAGAUCUACGAAAAAGUCAAUGCGCGCGUAUCUGUCAAAUGUACGGUUAAAGGGUUAUUCCGCAUUUUUUGCCGAUCCGCACACAUUGGAAUUUCGCUAACUCCUCCGAAGGCUUUCGUUCCACCGGCACCACAUUUGCUCAGGCCAAUCUACACCCCAUGGCCAUUAAAAGUUAUUCAAAUCAUGACGCUGCACCCCACGGUUUAGGUUCUAGGGGGAGCCAAAGAUAACCGUAAAAUCCACAUAUUUAAAAGUCUUAUAACUUUUUAUUUUUGUCCCCACUGGCCUCCAAGUUUUCUAGGAUGAUGCAAUGUCCAGCCAUCAACAUAUUUGUGAAGGAAUUUUUACUCGGCAAAAGAGCGCCCCCCCAUGGCAGGAGAAAAAAGUCAAUUUUUUCUUGUCCACUAAGGUGAAAAUACACAUUGUUGAGUGCUACGCCUGUAUGUUUUGUCGUAUUGACACAAAAUUUUACAUACACGUGUAUUUACAUAAGAUCUUCGAAAAAGUCAAUGGCCACGUAUCUGUAAAAUGUACGGUUAAAGGGUUAUUUCGCAUUUUUUGCAGAUUCGCACACAUAGGAAUUUCGCUAAUUCCUCCGAAGGCUUUCGUUCCACCGGCACCACAUUUGCUCAGGCCAAUCUACACCCCAUGGCCAUUAAAAGUUAUUCAAAUCAUGACGCUGCACCCCACGGUUUAGGUUCUAGGGGGCGCCAAAUAUAACCCUAAAAUCCACAUAUUUAAAAGUCUUAUAACUUUUUAUUUUUGUCCUCACUGGCCUCCAUGUUUUCUAGGAUGAUGCAAUGUCCAGCCAUCAACACAUUUGUGAAGGAGUUUUUCUCUUUAAAAGAGCGCCCCCCAUGGCAGGAGAAUAAAGUCAAGUUUUUCCUGUUCAUCAUUCAAUGGCUCAAACGCACUGCUCUCUCGGCAAAAGCGAAAGGAGGAGCAACUUGCCAUUUGGAUAUAUCUUAGCUGUGUUUGUGCCCUCACUCAUGGUCCAGACUUUUUUCAAAUAGGACAUGGAGUUUUUCUGCAGCGAGCGUUUUGGUAGAAACUGCGCCUCCCGUUCAUUAUAAUGGUAAAUGACCACAAACAAGUGCGCACACCAUCUUUGGACCUUGAGUGUGACGCGAUCGGGUGGGGGAGGCGGUCGCGCUGGGGGCGGCGUGACACGGCUCGGGCCCGCCAGUGCCCCAACGGGGCCCUAGUUUCUUUUUCCUCCCCUUUGAACUGGAAAAUGGCCCACUUCCCACUGGCGAAAACUCAUGAAAUUUGGCAGGACGACCGGGCCUGGUGAAAAAUUUGAUAUUCUGAAGUCGCCCAAACAAUACAAUGCAAAAUGGCUCCAUAGCGCCCCCUAAGGUGAAAAAUUCACCUGACGCCUGUACGCUUUGUCAAAAUGACACAAAAAUUGACACACACAUGAAUCUCAAUAAGAUCUACAAAAAAGUCAGUGCGGGCGUAUCUGUCAAAUGUACGGUUAAAGGGUUAUUGCGCAUUUUUUGCCGAUCCGCACACAUUGGAAUUUCGCUAACUCCUCCGAAGGCUUUCGUUCCACCGGCACCACAUUUGCUCAGGCCAAUCUACACCCCAUGGCCAUUAAAAGUUAUUCAAAUCAUGACGCUGCACCCCACGGUUUAGGUUCUAGGGGGCGCCAAAGAUAACCCUAAAAUCCACAUAUUUCAAAGUCUUAUAACUUUUUAUUUUUGCCCUCACUGGCCUCCAAGUUUUCUAGGAUGAUGCAAUGUCCAGCCAUCAACACAUUUGUGAAGGAAUUUUUACUCUCCAAAAGAGCGCCCCCCCAUGGCAGGAGAAAAAAGUCAAUUUUUUCUUGUCCCAUAAGGUGAAAAUUCACACUAUUGACUGUCACGCCUGUACGCUUUGUCAAAAUUACACAAAAAUUGACACACACAUGUAUCUCAAUAAGAUCUACAAAAAAGUCCUGCGCGCGUAUCUGUCAAAUGUACGGUUAAAGGGUUAUUCCGCAUUUUUUGCCGAUACGCACACAUUGGAAUUUCGCUAACUCCUCCGAAGGCUUUCGUUCCACCGGCACCACAUUUGCUCAGGCCAAUCUACACCCCAUGGCCAUUAAAAGUUAUUCAAAUCAUGACGCUGCAUCCCAUGGUUUAGGUUCUAGGGGGCGCCAAAAAUAACCCAAAAAUCCACAUUCUUAAAUGUUUUAUAACUUUUUUUUUUUGUCCUCACUGGCCUCCAAGUUUUCUAGGAUGAUGCAAUGUCCAGCCAUCAACACAUUUGUGAAGGAAUUUUUACUCCCCAAAAGAGCGCCCCCCCAUGGUAGGAGAAAAAAGUCAAUUUUUUCUUGUCCCCUUACAUGAAAAUACACAUUGUUGAGUGUCACGCCUGAACGCUAUGUCAUAUUGACACAAAAAUUGAGAAAUUAAUGUGAAAUUAAACCACAAAUAUAUGUGAUGAACUGUUUUUAAAACUUAAACUUCAAAUAAAAAUUGUAAACUUCAAAACAUAUGCAAAUUUUUAACAAAGAACAUAGUAAUUUACCUCUAUUUACAUCAAAAUGCAGGCAAUGGCCCAGGCGUUCUUUGUAAAAUUAUUUACAAAACACUGUAUAGUCUCACAAAUGUCACUUUUUAUUUAUGCCACUACAAAAAAACAUGAUGUAAAUGAUGCAUGAUGUAAAACAUGAUGUAAAAAACUUGUGUAGAUCCUCCUCUAUGUCAGUCCAUGUGUAAUCUUUCCAUAAUUCUUUGUUUUUUGCAGCAUUUUUGUUAGUGUAACUGCAGAUUGUGCUGACAGUGUCUAUGGCAAAAAAAAAAAAAAACUGAAAAUGCCUCAACAUGAACCCCUGGUGGUCUCUGAGGGUGAAACCUGCUAACUGCUGCAGCUCUGUCAGCUUUAGUCUCCCAUGCAGAGCUCGGAGCGCAUGUGUGGCUCUGCACCCUUAGUAGCGUUGCUAACUCCUCAGUAAGGAAAGCCUGCUUCAUGUCAGAGUCUCUAAACUCCAGAAGAAGUCGAUAAAAGUCCCUUUCUUUCUAAAAAAAAGUCGUUAGGGGGUCUGAAAAGUCAUUGAAUCUAACAACAAAGUCGCUAGGUUUGCAACUACGUGUCCCAGACUGCAUCCCUGCUGAGAGUUCCUCCCUCCCUUCUCAUGUUGCAGGAAGAACGUAAGCGCCCCCCUUGUCAAUCAGUCACCAUAUAAUUUUGGAUUGGUUGUUGUGGUGAAGUUUUCCACCAAUAGGAGAGAUGUUGUGGUGUGUUUUUUUUUUUUCUUUGGCAAGCCUUUUCCGCCUGUAAGACCUGUCGCUAAUGUCUGCAUGCUAUGUUUUCCUGUCUCAUACAGCGCGAUCGAGCGCCGAACGUGAUCAAAAUAAGCAGAAAAAAAGUAUCGCGGACAUAAUUUAUCAUAACUCUGGUUUUAUUUGGCCUAUCAACACAAUUUGAAAACUGGUGUAUAGUUUGAGGUCCUCACUUUUGAGAUAAGUUGAAACGGAGAGUCAACGAGGCUCCGUCUUGCUGCUACAUCCGGUUAAAUAUGUAAUGUGACUUGAACGCACACACAGACACACGCACACACACACACACACACACACACUCAGAGUCUGGUUUUUAGCACCUGCAAAAACAUGCUAUUUACAUAUUUGACAAGAAUGCAGAGGCUCCUUUUGCCCCUGAAAAAAAUCAAAUUUCAAACACAACUUGACUGGUCAUUUCUCCAAAAGACAACCAUGAAGCUCCAUCCAAACCUGAAGCAGGCAGUUGGUGCAUGUGUACAGUAACCUGAGGGGAGUGAGGUGAGUGCUUCUGAGGAGAACAUGAGCAGUGAAGAUUCACCUUGGAGCUAGAACAGAGACAUGCACAUGAUUAUACAGGGGCAGGGGCUCAAGUUUUUUCCAGUCGUUUAUACAAUAUGGAAAUUAAUGUGAAAUUAAAACACAAAGUAUUAAUAGAAAGGUAAUGACUGUCCUGUGUAGGUGACAGUGAUAUCCAAUAGGCUAGGCACUCACGAGGCUGGCUGUGGCAAGUGUAAGUGAAAGCAACACGCACUGGCAGGAAGAACAGCAAACGCCGAUGAAGGAAAAGGGUCUUUGCAGUGAUGGGCGUUACCAGAGAGGGCGAUGGCCAGAGGACACAAUAGGGACGGGGAGGCAGCACGUUGGGGGGGGGGGACGCGACACGGCUCGGGCCCGCCAGUGCCCCAACGGGGCCCUAGUCUUUCUUUGUUUCUUUCUUUCUGUUUGUUUGUUUGUUCCUGUCUUUCUUUCUUUCUUUCUUUCUUUCUUUCUUCUUCAACAUGUUUUCCUUACUUUUAAAAUGUUUUCCUCAAAUGUACAGAGCCCAGAUUAGUUAAUUUCAGGCCUCCACUGUAUCCCAGAUUAAUUUAAAAUACAUGAAGAGAUGUGAUUUGCAGUGGGGGGCAUACUCUUCAAUUGUUGCUGUAGUUUAUUCAUAGUUAAUGCACCAUGCACUAUAGUGGUACCAAAAACAGUCAUUCGAGCAGCUAAUCUGCAUUCAAAUAAAAUGUGUUUUGAAUGACUUGUAUCAAAGCAUUUAUUUGUACAUUAUCCAAUCCAACCCGCUUUAUUUAUAUGGCACAUUUUAAAAAACAUUCAAGUUUACCAAAGUGCUGCACAGUUAAAUUAAAAGAACAAACACGGCAGAAAAGAUCAAGAGGAAAUAAAUAAAAGCAGGUAAAAAAGAACAUUUAAAAUGAAAUAAAAUAAAUGAAAUAAAAACAAAACAGCAUAAAAAAAAUUUAAAGUGAUAAAAGGAGUAUAAAGGACAGAGCUCACACAACUCUCAUUACAGCUAUUCUUUGGGAUGUUCUUAAAUUAAAGUUCUUAAAUUGUAAAACUAAUCUUCAACAAACCUAAAGAAAGAAAAAAGAAGAAAAACAGUCAGAAUUGUGCAGGAUUUAUUCAACAUUACUAAACACGAUAGCAGAGUCUGCAGAUAGAUAAUGUCAAAUGAGUUUCAGAGUGUGGCUUAGUGUUGCUAGCACUGCCUCGGGGCUCCCCUGCAGGUCAAUGCCACAUACCUGCACUUGUUAUGCAUCACUUCAGUCAAGUUAUCAAUAUUUCAUUUUCUGAAUCAAACUACGAUUCAACCACUUCAUGCUGCAAGAUGCCAUGAGUUGUCUGUGCUUGUUUACAUCUGGAUAGUAGAGCAUUAUAGCAUAAUGACCGCCAUAGGGACUGGAGCUACAGCAAUGGCUGCUGGUGGUGCACUACAGCUUAGACCCCUCUACCUUACAAGGGUGGCAGAAAAACAUUGAUACAGCAUAGUAUCACGAUAUUUUGUCCGGUGAUAUAUUGUAUCGUCUUAAUUACCAAGUAUAGAUUUUUUCAAUUAAUUGCGAAUAUGACGUGAAAUCUAUGAUAGUGGAAAAAUAAAAUCAACUGUUUGUCUGGUGAGGUUGGCAGAGGUGACAUCAUAGAGCAGGAGAAAGUUAGUACGACGAAUAUAUUUAAGGUUUGCAAGAUGUGCUCCAUGAAAAUAAAAUACAGUGUAAAUAAGACAAACAUAAUGGAAAGACGAAUGCUAAUUUAACUAAAAAGUUGAAAAAUUGUAUAAAUCGCAAUAUAUUUUAUCGCAUUACUCACUGUAGCCUGUCGCAAAAUGUUAAAAAUACCGUAUCGUGGCCCAAGUAUCGUGAUACUAUUGUAAUUUGGGGCCACUAGUGAUUCCCACCCCUACUACCUUGCACAAAGGUUUUAAUGCUCUGAAUUUCCAAGCUUUGUUACAGCUUGUUUAUGAGGUUUGUGUUUUCACUAUCAUUCCUUAUUAUGCUAGUUUUUCUGGCGAUCGUUCCUUUUCACUGUGAUAACAGAAACCUUGUCAAUCUACGUGAUGAGCAACUGAAAAAGCAGAUGAGUGGGGGUGGGGUGGAGGGGACUUCAAAGUUAGUCCAACUUAUUUUUGAGAGAUAAUGAGUGAAUGAUAAAAUUAUCACCCAAACUGUCCGUUUGAAGUGAUAAUCAGACCUGUUGGCUUGUUUAUAACCCGUCUGAUCCUCUGAUCUUUUGUGUUUCUACCCUGUCUGACUCAUCAUCACGCUCUCAUCCAGAUCGAAUCUGUUUAUUUAGUGGAGCAAUAACUGAUUAUAGUGCUGUGGUUUUUGGUAAAAGCUAUAAAAAUAAGAUUUCUGCCCACACAUAAAAAAUGUUUUCUUUCUUAAAAUGGAGUAUUGUGUGAGAUUGUAAGUUUUUAUUGGUUGUCUAAGGUUCAUUUGAUUAUCUCUAAAUUUGCUCCUAUGAAACUGAAACUUAUUUUAUUUAUCACAUACUCAUUCCCUCUAAAUAAGACAUUUUCUUUUCAAAAACACAUGCGCUCACUAUGUGUAGUCUUUAUUCCUCAGUCCACAGUGUAAACUUCUCCUUCUCAUCUGAACACUCCGCAGCGUGCAAUAAGUCGAGGUCAGGUAUUUUAUAAAUCUUCUCUGUGUUUAUCAAAUGGACUCAAAAAUUACAAUUUUCACAGUGCGGCUAAUAAAAGUCAAACUGUCCCUCUGUACAUGUACAUGAAACAAACAAAGAGACAUGCGGGGGCCCUUUGAUCAGUCAAUCCGUAAACAAACCCAGAUGCAGAAGCGCCCUGCAAUCGGGUAUGUGCAGAUCAAACUGCGUCAAAUCAUCAGCGGGCAAAUAAUAAGCUCUCGUUCUGUGAAGGGCAGCAGUCACAGCAGCACCAUCAAUUAGACUCUACACUUUGUGUCUUUUUUCCUCUCAACUGAUGGUGAGCCGAGCGAGUCUGACUCUGCUUUGUCUCGCACCAAACCUUCAAACUUUACAUUACUGUGAAGAUGAAUGAAGAUUUUUUUUGAAAAGUGUUGGAUUCUGAAGGGUUUAAAUUACAAACACUGCCAUGUUGAUGUUUGAAAUAUUUUGAUAUCGCCUGAAGUUUGCACCCACAUUUUUGGCAGUCUGGAUGUUCUCGGCGAGUCAUCUGCAUACGGCACUUUUCAAGAUAUGGCCGUCCUGCCGUGGUUUGAAUUGUUUAUAUUUUGUCCCUGAUUGUGCGGCCACAUAGGUAGGAGCUUCACAACUAUGGAUGAAGUUUGCAACAUCUUUUUUUUUUUUUUUUUCUAUUCUGCUCCUUCUUGUUAGUGCAUUCCUCACGCUGUGCACAAGAGUAUUACCCUCAAACAAGUCGGUCCUCUUUGUUUUGAGCUCUAUGGGGACCCCCUCCCUUUGCAAAAAAAAAUUAUGUUUUGGAAGGCAAGCCGAACCAAUGCGCGGGGAGAGCGCAUGGAAUCAAUAGUGUCUUCUUUUCUUACUUGAUUUAAAUGAGGGCUACCAGCUCUGAAGUUCCUUCUUGCCAUGUUCAUCUUGAAAGAAUGUGCGCUGGUUGCACCGACUCCAAAGCCCAGCACAGUUACCAUUGGCAUAUUAAUAAUUUAAUGCAAAUAAUCAUUGAGUAUGCAGUUUGUGUGUGAAUUUGAGCUGAAAGACAAAAGUAGAAAGUGGGGCCUCACAUUGCGUUGAGGAAAAUAAAGUGAGAUGUUACACAGACCUCUUUCUAGCGUCUCCGCGGGUGGAUGCUGAAAUGAAUCCCCUCAAGAGUUGUACCAUCUCAUCCAGCUUUCUCUGAUUUAGAUCCCAUCAACACUUCUCAUUUCACACUGCUGUAAUACAAGAUGUCAAAGUGUAAUGUGACAAGGUUUCUCGGAGUAAACAGACACGAGAGUUUUUACUUACUUUUAAUUGCGCCCCAAAAGUCACCUGGUUAGCUGUUGACUCCACCUGUGAUGGUUUAUGAGGUUUUGGCAGAGCAAACAUGCUUACAGUGGUGUCAGAAGAGGUCAAAGUGUACACGCUGUUUCGUGAAGAGAUGUUGAUGGGGUUGUUAGACGUCACGCAGACACAGAAAAAGAUAUAUUACAGCUUCUAUUUGCCAUGCUUGCUCUCAGGCUUCAACUCGCGCAUCAUUCCCUCAGUCCCAUCACACCGUCAAUAAUUCAUGUCAGGGAUUUCAUGGGAUUCAGCACACACUUUCGCCCGUAUUGAUGGCAAAUUUCUUUUAUUUACGCGCGGCCUGUAAUGAAAUAAGAAGCUCACAUAACUCUGUACUCAGUCUGUAGGCUAAUUUCAGAGGGAGAAAACAGGGGGCUGGUAACAGUGGUGGUGUUGGUGGUGUUUCGGAGCGGAGGAAAGCCUGUGGGGCUUUGGUUGUUCUAAGGGUCCCAGAGCUGCUUUCCUCAGCCUCUCUCUGCUUAUGGCUUUCAUUACAGGUCGCUCUUUUCUUCUUCACCCUCCUUCUUGUGUUCAUGUGGAGGCAGGGCAUUUGCGUUUGUACGUCUACAGAAUGGUUUUCAGCCAUGCAAAUGAAAACAACACAUACCUGCGUUGGCUUUUACACAUUCCUGUUGCCUUUUCUUCAAGUAAACAGAGAAUACAAAUAGAAGUCCCGCUGAAGUGUAGUUUUAUACUUUUAUAUAAGCAUUAUAAGAAUUGACCCCGUUACCUCUAAUUAUCUUUAAGACCAAAAUUAAGUUUUCAGCCAAAACCACGUAAGCUACAGUAAUGCGAUGUAACAGUAACCUUCCUGUUGUGUAGUUGAACAUACAAGAGUUUAAAUCAAGGACUGUAUUACCAAAUUGAUGCUAACAGCGGUAUUAUUAACUGCAACAUGUGAAAUCAGCUGUGUCCUGUUAUUUAACCACAAAUUAGGGGUCAAAGGUUGUCCUAAAGGUUGUGUGGUAUGGUUACAAAAUUGAUCUGGCAGUUGAUUAAGUUUGAUAAUACAAACAGACUUAGAAAUUGAUAUACGUCACAUUGAAUUUAUAAUAUGAAUCAGUUUAUGUAUAUUGGGUGGAAGUUCUCAUAAUGUAAACCAUUUAAACUCUGUUUCUAAACUCACUUGUAGUUCUUAUGCAGAUGUGUGGGACCAUCUGUUAUCAUGGGCCACCCUGCCAGCUACCCACAUGGUAGUUGAGUACAUACUUCACUAGUAUAGAAGGGCAGUCAAAAUUGCUUCAAAAUGAUGUUUGAAUAUUCAUUCUAAAAAUAGCACAUAGGUUCAAACAUAUUUGAAAAAAUGCUGAGCGGGAUAAAGUUAUAUGCAAGCUGUGUAAGCUAGAUGUUCAAUCAACUGUGUCUGCCCAAGAUCUGAAGAAUUUCCAAAUGCAGCUUCUAAAGUUCGUUGGAGUCCAGACCAUUCUCUCUGAGUUUGGCUCUGAACAUCCCGCCAUCUCUCUGCAUGUGCCACGGAUGUUUUUUGUCGAGUCAGGUGCAGCUCCUGUGACCUGUCCCUGACCCAUCAUUACAGUACACUCACUCGCAAAGCAGUCGCUGUUUUUUUUUUUUCUUUUCGUUUUUUCCUGCUCAUUUUUUCCCCGCUGUUUAUUUAAUAAUCCAUUAAUUUUCACAUUUGAAUCUCUCUUUUUUUUUUCUUGAAUAUUCAAAUAUGUAUUCAAAUUUAUAAUAUUCGUUGACAACCCUAUAGACGGUUGUAAGGUAUAAAAGGAUCCACUGCCACCAACAAAUCUGCCAAGACUUCACCAUCUCUCUCCACUGGUCACUUCGUAGAGUCUUUUAAACCUGCACUCCACGAGGUGCAUUUACCUAAAAUGAUAUCCCUGUUGUCUUUAAAAGCAUGAACACAACACAGUGAGGAAUAAAAGCUGUUAAAAAAUGGUGCUGCUAGACUGGCUUUCUUUGCAUUGUACCCCCAGAUUGCUUUGUGCAUUAAAGUGGUCACUUGCUUAAUCAAGCCCUGUCUUCUGGGUGAAAUACCACAACACAAUACAACACACCUGUGGGUUUUAUACUGGUAUAUCAGCCACUUAAAUUUACACUAAUUGUUUUACCCACUGUGCACUGUGUUUAGUUACUGUAUACCUUUUGAUGAUCCAAUAAAUCCAAACAAAUACAAAGCUUAGCUGUUAUACAGUUGCUGGCCACCAGUUUGGCCCAUGAAGGUAUAAUCAGGUUUCCAGGCCUUGAAUCACUCAAGUUUCAGUUGUUUGGGAAAAACCAUUUUACAGUGUUAUGUCCAUUUAGGUUUGAGUUUGAAUUUCUUCAACAGAUUGAGAGAAUAGUCCUCUAUUUGACCACGACCAGAAAAUGAUUAGCUUUCCUCCUCCUCCUCGCAGCAGCAGCAUUAUGGGCUCAUCAACUAGCCUUAGAAGAGAAUAAGACUUUUUUACAGGUACAAUAUAUGCAAGAAUUACCCUUUCAUUAAGUCUUCCUGCAGAUAAAAAGGUUUGAGUGCUCUGUGUUUUGCACCUUUUAACAACACUAAGUAAAAAUAAUUAAAAUGCAAAUGUUUUAAGGCCUCAUAAGUCCGAAUGAUCAAAAGGUGCUCCAACCAGAGCACGAAAACAGUCGUAAAGUGAUUUCAUCACCUGCUAUAACAAUCAAUUAAAAUACAAUAUGCAGAGAAUGCAUGUGUAUGUGUGCUCACCACAGUGGUGUGGAAUGAAUCAGUGAGUGCCUGUGGACAUUGUCAUAUGGACAUAUUAGCGGCAGCUCUGGAUUCCUUAGUGUUUUAUGUGUAUAAUUUCCCCCUGAUAGUGAUGGUGGUGGUAGUUAUGGUGUUAUGGUGUUAUGGUGUGUGUGUGUGUGUGUGUGUGUGUGUGUGUGUGUGUGUGUGUGUGUGUGUGUGUGUGUGUGUGUGUGUGUGUGUGUGUGGAGAGAGAGAGAAAGAAAUAGAAAGAGAAAGACAGAGAAUUGAAGAGAGAGAAUGGGAGAGCUAGAGAGGUGAUGUGGAAGGAUGAGGGAGGCUGAGACAGGAGAGCUGCCCCCAGUAAUGAGGCCCUUUUAUGGGCUUUAAUUUGUCCCGCUCCCCCGGGAGACUGAUGGAUGGCUCUCUUUAUGCUCACUCUCUUUCGUUCCACCAUCUGUGAUACAGAGGAUUUAUUUAUACCCUGAUAUUACCUCUCUAACAAGUGCUGCCUCGCCAUUACUACUGCCACACUCUUCUUUCUUCAGAUAGAUAGAUGGAUAGAUUUGGGUUCUUGGUAGGUAAGUGACACUUAAGUGUACAUAGUUGAAAAUUUAAACAAUCAAACGAAGCUUACAUCAGCCACCUGAUAAGAAAAAAAUCAGAACAACAGACAACAGUCUCUUUUUGUGAAAAAAAAAGUGGAGCAUGCACAGUGUGUGCAUGCGUGUGUGUUUAGAUGUCUGUAAGCCCGCCAUGCUGUCUGAGUUUGAUUCUCCCCUUAUUCUUUUCUUUCUCUGUUUAUUUGUUUCUUUUCUGCAAGUGGGUGCAGGGGGGAAAAAACAAAACAUUUUUGCCCCUGGGCAAUUCAUUGCAAAUUCUGGCUGACUCCUGCUCGCUUUGACUCCGGGGAAAUGAAAUUUAAAAACUAGCUUAAAAGUUUAUCACCGGUUGGCAGUUUUGGCAAGUGAUAAAAAUGACCAGUUGGAGAGGUAGAUUUAGGUUGACAGCCACGCAGGGAUGAAAAUAGCACGCUGCAUACGUUUACCUCGGCUGUUUCAAAGGAUCGGGCACCAUGCUGGCAGGGCUGCCGAUGCCCAUGUUCAUCCAUUCAUCCGCAGCUCAGGGGCUUGUCACUGCAAAAAGAAAAAAAAAAACUUCAAGGGAGAGUUUCAAGCAACAACAAUCGCUCUGCAUCAACAAACAAUGCACUAGCACACAUAUAUUCAAAUAUAUAAUGCAGCUCAUAUAGUCUGUUUUGGACAAUGCGCAGUAUUGAUCACUCUGAACCUCGCUCACAGUAACAAGUGGAACAAGUGGAAAAUAUAACGAUCAUACCUCAUGUUACAUUGCUAAAGGCCUUAGAGGUUGAAACGGUGAUUUAAAUGAACAAAGACGAUUGACUUAUUUUCAUGAUGAAUUUCACUCAGUGAAAACAGAGAUUUACUCCAGGAAAUGUGUCUCUUUUGUUUCCGGAUUUCAAGUUUGUUCCCACUAGCAGUGCUUUAAAAGACUUAACAAGAGAUUUACGGUGUCCUUUUGCAUUGGAUUGUAAUGGAUUUAAAUGUAUUUGGAACAUGCAGAAUAUAAAGCAUAAAUGGUCAUACAGGAUCUUCUUAUACUACCCAAAAAGGAUAAAUAAUGCAAUAUCAGAUUGUCAAACACUUGAUGAUUUGGUUUACAUAUUCCAAAAUAGAGUAGGAAGAAGUACAUACAUUUAUUUGACCUUACCUUAAUUUCAUGAGACAUUGUUGAUUAAUUAUGCAGAUUUUUUAUUAAAAUGACAUCAGCCAUUAUUAUUAACCUUAACUUUUUCAAAUGUAAAGUUUUAACCACCAUUUAGGGUUGUCCAAUAAGAUAAUUUUUUUUUACAACUAACAUAUUUAUAUCCAUAUGCAGUUGUGUUACUUACAUUUUUACUCACUUUGAUUAAAAAAAAAACCAGUAUUGAUAUAUUAAACUAACAGAAAUAUUGAUCUUUGAUCCCUUAUAUCAUGAAGUGAUUUGUAAAACUUGGGAAAAUAGGGAAAAAUGUUUGAUAUAACUUCCCUAAGCAUGGAGAGUCACUACAUUAUCCUGCUUAUUACCAACGAGAGCUAUAUGCAAGCUGACACAGCAGGUUGAUUAAAAGAUGAUUUUAUUCUUUGGUUAAUAAUUGAUGUACACAGCUUAAAAGAUAGUUAUUCUGAUUCUGCGGUCUGUAAUGUUCCCCUGGUAAUAGAUACUUAUUUACCUCCUUGAAGGAUGAAUAAACAUCUAACCAAACAUUUAAACUCCUGAUCACUUAUCUAUUAUUAUCUGCAUUAUUUUAACAUUUUUAAAGAAUGUAAUGGUAAACAAGGUUAGCAAGACUUCUGCAGGGAUCUUCUUCUUCUUCUUUUCUUGGCUAUGUCACAAUUUUUAGCGUUUCUGCUUAAUUCACUACCCUUCACGGUUAAAGUUACUUUGUUGAAAUCAGCAGCUUGGAGAUGCACUCACCAGCUCUGCUGCCAUCUCAUGGAUUGCACAACAGGAUCUAAUAUUAUAAUAUUCUCUGUGUUGUUUUACCAUGGAAGUUAUUUUAGAGCACAGAGAUUGACAUCUUUGCCUUACAGUCAACAAGCUGAGCUUAAAGGUCUUGAAACUCUUUUCAAACUCUUUGAUUUGAUGACGUGGGAUCUGGUCGUCUAUACUGAUCAUGCUACCUUUGUUUUAACCAAUGUAUAAUCGGAUAUUUAACACGGCUAUGUGCUUAGAGAGAAAGCUGAGUAUUAAGAUUCAGUGGAAGUCAAGAAAAGUUCAAAAUUAAAUGGGUCACUAGAGAAUCAUUGAUCCAAAAUAUUUUUACUUUAUUUGAGCACUUAAGCCUCAUUUUUUUGUCAUGAAGCCUGAUUCUGACGUCUCUAAGUCCACAUGUCUCAAAACCUGACAGUUUAAGAUCAAAUAAAAUGAGUCACAUCUGAAAGCAGCUGGCUUCAAAAUUUCAUACUAUAAGCAUAGACAGGCUGUGUUGACUCAUAUUAACACCACACUUUCUCCAUAUUCUUGUGUGUUCCUGAUCUCAUCUCUAAUCUAAUCAAACACAUGACUCUCUGUUUACCGAAACCACUGCUGAACGCUUUUCCAGUUAGUUUGAGUAACUGAAACACUCACACCACCUCAGCCUCUUUCUGAAUCAGUGUUCAAGUGUGAGCGUUGAUGUGUCUUCCCAAACAUCUUUUUAGCUUUACCUGAUUUCUUUAGCAAAGAGACUAGACACAACUCACCUGCUCUCUUCCAGCAGCCGCUUGUUUGUGCGGAGACCUCGGACAAGUCCAUCACCGAUUGCAGCGGGGUGAUGCAGCUUAAGGAAGAACAUUUAUGAUCAUUUCUUCAUGGAAAUACAAUCAGACUGAGACGCUAAGGCAGAAGAACUACCGCGCCUGCAGUGCAAAAUGAUUAAUAUGGUGAUUAUUACUUUAAGGAAAUGAUAAAGAAAUGAUCAUAAAUGUUCUUCCUUGAGCUGCGUCACCCCACUGCAGUCGGUAAUGGACUCGCCCGAGGUCUCCGUUCAAACAAGCGGCUACUGGAAGAGAGUAGGUGAGUUGUGUUUAGUCUCUUUGUUAAAGAAAUUAGGCAAAGUUAAAAAGAUGUUUGAUGGCUAGCGCUGUGGCUGGGACCCUAUAUGUACUGUUGAUGAAGUUAGGUGCUGUUCUGAGCAUUAUUUGUGGCUACAGAGUGGCUUUUUGGUUGAGUGUGUGGCUCUCUGUAUUGCUAUCUGCGGUCGUUACUAAAGUUGGUAUAACUAGAGCAGCAAGCGGUUGGCAACAUUCAUCUCUCGACUGGGUGUCUAACUCGGUGUUACAGUGUGUUUGACCCUAGGUUAAUUUUACGCUGGAAUAUCCCUUUAAACUCAGAGGUAGUUGUCAUUAAACUUGUUAUCAUUCAGUUUUUCUAGUUUGUGUGAAAGUAAAUUCCAAAUCAAAAAUGAAGCCCCUCUAUAUGUCACAACAAAAGGUUAAAUUUUCAAGGAUCUGGUCCAUAAUGAUAGUUUGAAGUCUCACCUUAAUGGUUAUCUUAGCAACAAUGCCACUAAAGUGUUCUUCACUAUCUCAGCUUCAAAGAUGAAUCACGCCUCUUUACGUGUUUCUUUGCACCUUUCAUUCAUCCCUCCUCCCUUCAAAUAGCAUAAAUAAAACAGCAACACAGGAGGAGAAACUGGAGUACACUGAGCGUAAACAGAAUAAAAAUAUAGGUUUGCUUUCUUUCUGCCUGCUCUGCCCCUCUGGAUAUGUGAUCACUAACAUCUCUUUGCAUGUGCAGAGGGUUGGGCAAUGGUUUGGCACGUAGAUUGUCAAAUCACACCUCUGAGUAGCUCUCAGCAGCACACUUAGCUCAAGGCCCCUCCAGCUUACAUAAUCCUCUGAUCUGUGUGCUGCUGGAGCCGGGCCAGCUGAGGAUUGACAAACACGCUGGGCAAGAAAUGAGACACGCCACGCUGUCUUACAGGGCGAAGAGAGCGAGAGCGAGAGAGAGAGAGUGCAGUGACGACAGCCAUUGUGGGUUCUAGCUCUAUCUACUGGGACGUCUAUUUUUGGGUGGAUUUCCCUCUGUGAGUCAAAGAUGAAAACAAAAAAAGAAACAAAUAUGUCCUUCCCCGUGAACUUGAGUCUUUUUUUUAUAUUAAUAACAAACCUUUUUAUAACGGUCAUCCAUCCUUAAAAACACUUCUCCAUAUGCCUCAUGACCCCAUAGCGCCUGGCGCCAGUUGUUGAUAAAAUUGAAGGAGAUUUGAAGGACUGUUUUUUGAAACCCUUCUUUUCAAGGAAAUUGAAGUCUUAGCUGUUUUUCUUGAAACCUCAAAUUGUCAUCAUCUCCUUGGCUGUCACAUUACAGUCAAACUUUCCACAGGGAUCAGUUAUCACUUUUCUGCUGAUCAACUCUGCUUUCUGUUAGUUUGGUUGCAAUAGAUGCCUGCUACUAUAACAUUAUUGUUCUGUAAGAGCUGAAAAAAUUUUGCUUUUAUUUUGAAAGCCAUGUGUUAUCAAGGAAAGGGUCUGUUUAGCUGCCAUCUUUGUAAUGCUAACUAACAUAGGAAAAUAACAUAGAUAGCAAUGCGUCCAAUCAUGCUAUUUAUGUCAAGAUUGGAAAAAAAAUGGAAUUGUGCCUUUAGAACUAAAAUACCUUUUAACCAAAAAUCACAGAUUGGUCUCCUUUUUCUAUACACCCUCCUCACCCAUUAUAUCCCGCCCUCAACCCUCCACCCGUUUGGCUGGUAAGCGGGGAAAGCCCACUUGCAGUGCCCCCUUUGGCACUUCUUUUCAACUUCACAGUGUCCUGUGGAUGAGCUUGGAUCCACUACAGAAAGCCAUCUGCCCACUGUGAUCGCUCACUAAAGUGUCUUAAUUAAGGCUCAUUGCCUUUGUGUUUUGUCUCCCCUUUCAGAUGGACAGAAAUCAGAACACACCCAAUACCACGUGAAGGAAAUCCUGUGAGAGAGGAAGGCAAGAGAAAGCUGGGCUUAAUAUUUACACACAAAGCCAUGUGUUCUAUCUUGGUGAGUCAUGUCACACAAUCUGACAGAUAUUGUCUAUCUCUGAAAAGUCGGCACUGUAGGGAUUUAGUUUUUGUUCAGCUGCUCACAGGAGAGUGUAGACGCACAAUAGCCUUACUGAUCUGCUAUCAUUAGCAUGUCGAACACACCGUUUCUUCCCUUGAUGUCAGUAUUGAACACUGGCUCUGCCAUGUGCCACAGCUUCAAGGUCCAGAGCAGCAAAGAUCUCCUCCGCACACAAACACACAGAGAUGCACACAGUUACACACUAACACAUUUACUCAUACCAAGGGAGCUUCUGUCAUCCGCUGUCCUGUUCGGUGUCUUCAUUUUGGGGUUGCUGAUCAGACAUGUUGUGUCGGGGAAACUCUCAGGAGCUGCAGAUCUGUCAGUGGUUGUUCAGCCUUCAUCACCUUUUGAUCUGCAGAAAAAGACCUCAACUGCUGUUGUUGUACAACCUGUUCUUCACUUAUUUUUUCCUAUGAAAUCCCUGUUAGUGUCUGCUAAAUUCACAAGAUUAUACUCUCACGUAUGGCUCGCUGCAUUAUGGUGUAUAAAAGUUUGUUUAAUGGUAUUGUUUGGCUGGCAAACACGAUUAAGAUGCCACUGGUCUUGAAUGAGAACUGUAUGGAAAGCAACUUGGAGUUAUUGUCGUAUCUUAUGAAGAGGACCCAAGCUACCUGUUAGCUUACACUGUCCGCUCAGCCUCGAAUAAAUUUAGGAGUCUCUACAAUCCAAGCAGCCAUCCAUUAGCUUGUUUUGUUUAACAAUAAGACAAUGUGUUCUCAGAAUCAAUAAUAUGGACAUAGCUCUUAAAGAAUGGCAACUCCAGCAUGGAGUGAGGUGUGAGGUAGUGCAAGAGCGAAGGACAGUUUAAAAAAAUGUCAAAAUAAAGUGUGUGCACUUGCAUAGACAUACGUUUUGGACGAGGCUUUCUUAAAACCAGCUUAAUUAUGUGGUAUAGUUGAUCCUGUCCAUAGCCAGUCUUACAUCCAGCUGUUCAACAAAGAAACCAAGCUGACCGCUAUCCCAUGUGGAUGAUAUUCUUUCAAAAAUAGAACAAAACUCUCCCUGUAAGCAAGCUUCAAGUCUCUACACAUUGAUUUUAUCUUGGGAAAAAAAAAAAAAAACAGCUGAUGGAAAUCAACAGCUGAUUUAGAUCCUUUUUUAAAAACUGUCACACUCGAACAUGAAUUACCCAGGAUGAGCUGUAAAAGGAUAAAUCAUCCCAAAUUUGACUCAGAACAACUUGAUCUGAAAUAGAGAGGGAAACAAUGAGGAGAAAAGUAAUUACAAACCCACCAAAAAGAAGAGAAUGAAAUAUAUAUUUCUACUCUACUCUUGUUUUUCCUCCUGAAACCAGAUGCACUGCUAACAUCUUGUUUCUUAUGUCUCAAGGCCUGAUUGAUCCCUCAUUUGUCACAGUCACAGAAAAGAAUCCAAAAGUAGUCAACUGUUCUUUUUUUCUCACUUCCUCCCCCUCUCUUCCCUCUGCAGUCUUUCUUUCACCAUCCAUUAUGAGUGUGUGACAGGUUACAGACGGGUUGAGAGGGGAGAACAAUGUGUUGUGACCCUCAGUACUGCCCUCCAGCUCAGCGCCUGGCUUCAGCUCCCUCUCCCAGCAGGCCGUGGGGGGCCUGGCCGCCGCCCCUCUGCCCGCCUCCCUCCUCCUUCUUCACCCCUCCACCACCACCAGAAUCAAUCGCUCUGCGACACCGAACAAACGAUCCGCUGAAGCCCAUGCAUCACAGUACAGUGCACCACCAACAAUGACCAGUGGUGUGGUUCAGGACUGAAACUAAGGGGGCGAGAAAAAGAUGGAGAGUUAUUUCAAGGAAAUUUAAAAAUGAGUCCGAAAUUAAUAAAGAAAACAGAUGAACAACAACAAAAAGAAGAAUAAAGGAAUAAAAACAGUUUGAUUUAUAUUAGAACUGAAUAAUGUGUAACAUCUUUUUUAAAGUCUGUUAUUAGCAAAACAGUGCUCCAAAAAUCAAAAUCAAUCAAUUAAAGGGAUUUUUUUUCUUAAGACCUAGUCUUGAGCUCAAAAUUGUUUUAAUUUUAAUUUUUUUUAAAAACACUUUUAGCAGCUUUUAUCACCUGUGCAUUUAAAAAAUAAGAUAAAUAUUACAUUGAAGUUAAAGUCCAUUUUCUAACUAAACUUACAUUUUUUUUUAUAAACUUAUUAGACCGUCUCAACCCUAAAUUUUGAAUUCAUAUAAUAAUUACAUCCUAAAAACAUCUUACAUGACAUAAAAAACACACAACUUUAUUGUUUCUUUUUGAAUACUUAAGAAAAGCUACACAGAUGUUAACCUCUGGUAAUUUUACAAUAACAAAUUAUCUGACAGGUGGGGUUUUCAUAAAAAAACUUCUAAGUUUAUAAAAUUAAACUUUACUGUAUAUGGAUGUUCCAAAGUGACUAACUUUCUUGUGGUUUCAACCAAGUUUGAAUUCUAAUAAAUGACGAGUACAGAGGUAAGAAAACAAUCAGAAAACAGUUGGAAUUGAGCUCAAUUCAUUGAAUAAGGUUCAAGGCCAGAUCACCGAGGGUCAAACUGUCUUUGCAGAACUUGCACCAUCAACCUUCAGACCUUGUAAGUCAACAUCCACAUGACUGGGCUGGUGAUGCAUUGCUCCACUGAAAUGGUUACAUGUCAGUUCAACCAGACACAGCCUUCUUUAUCUUUAUUUUCUAGAUCAAAAUACUGUCAAACCUCUGAUGUAAUCUCUGCUUGUUUUCAUCCAAGUAGUGGGGCAUAAUGGAUAAGGUGACCAGAUGUCCCUGAUUUCCAGGGACUGUCCCGGUUUUGGAUGACCUAAAGCUAUCCCUGAAAAUGUCCCUGAUUCAAGCGUUUCAUGAAUAAGAACAACAAUGUUACAUGUAGACUAGAACAAUGGUUAUUACGGUAGCCGAGUAGGUAAGAAGCACAAGUAAGUAUGUGGCACGCAGUCCUAAACAACAGUUUUUACAGGGGGUUAUUACUGGGGGCGUGCACUGGUACUAAGUAGUACCGGGAUGUUGUCUGUGAUCACGCAGCCCAUGCCCCCCCCCCAUUUUUUGAGAGUAGGCAAGCUGCAAGCUUUUGUAAGCUAAUAGCUGAGUGCUGAGAAGAACACUUAAAGGAUUUUAAUACAUCGUGUCUAGAGUAAAUGAACAUGUAAACAAGUUGUUAUGUUUUUUCAUCACGAUAGUCAGCAUACUUUUUUUAAUGUCUGACUGUAGGCGUAGAUGUAACUGUUAUAAGAGCUAUAUAGACGGUAGCUAACUAAAGCAUUGCUAUCCGCGCAAAGUCACGUGAAAUUGUUUCCGAUGUCUCAAACAGCAGAAAGUGAGUCUGAGUUUUAAUUACAUCCCUGUGAAUCAGUGAGCAUCUGAGGUCCUCUCUGGUCAGCCACCGCUAUUGUUCACUUCAAGUGCUACUCUUACUCCCAGAGGUCCCCUGGGAGCUCAGUGCCCUCCCUCAAACCUCCCCCACACACCCACACUGAUGCCUCACACACACUCCGGGUCUACUAUGACAAAAUUGUGUUAAUUUACCCAGCCAGUAGUAUUAACCAUAUUAUAUCAAAUAACUGCCACAGACAAUUGGGCGGCCAGCUCGGUGACUUCAUUUUAAUUGAUUUUCUUACAUGCUCUCAGGCGCAGAUGAUUUGGUUUCCCUCUGACACUAUGUUUAUUAAAGGCAUAUUGCAUAAAGGAAUAAAUAGAUAUUGUUGGUUAGAUUUAUAUGAGCUUUGAGGGAGAGCAGAGAUUCGCCCCUUGUUUUAAUAUCUGCCCGACUUUUAAGUGUUUAGUUUGAUUAAAGUCAAUAUGUUUGCUUAACCUUUGGGCCAAAGAGACACCUCAGCAUGUGUGUAUGUCACGUGUCCUGAAAAAUGUGUGUUUAUGUGGGAGAAAGUGAGGAAAACGGAGAUGUGUUUAUGUCUAUUGGAAACCUGUCCAUCACAGGGAUACACCAAGCUACCUGGGUGAGCUGACUUCAUCUGGAUAUGUAACACAUAGCCUGAACAGAGCUGCUGUUUGUUGGCUAGAAACGGUUUCUAUUUUCCAUCUUUUCUUCAAGUGGAAUGGCUGCAAGGAGACCCCAGGACCAUUUCAUCUCCAACAUCCUUUACCAGCUGUCGCAGUCUUAAAGGCAUGCUGUUCAGCCCACAGAAAAUCCCACUAAUCAUCUUUUUGUGUUUGAGGGCACAAUAUGCUGAAACAGGCAGGGUGCACACACACACACACACACACACACACACACACACACACACACACAGAUAAAUAUACACACACACAUGCAUGCAGACACAUGCCAGCCUGCUGCUCUCUUGUCCCCAUGCCCUGAGGGGAAGGAGGGCGCUCAGUAUAAUCACUUGUUAGAGGUCUGGCUAACCCCCCCAACUCUUCUCUCUGUCCUCUUCUGGACCCUUCACACUCCUCCUCCAACUGUUUUGUUUAUCCACCAAUCUGUGUCACUUCCUCUGUUCGCCCCAUGACCACUUCCUGUGUGUCUGCUGUCUUUUUUUUUUUUCUUUUUCUCUCGUUCUCCAACUUUCUAACCCAGACAGAUCUUUCCUUCAUCUUCUUAUAUCCAGUGCUUCAGGUGGAAAAAAAGUGCCAGGAUCCACUUGUGAGCCUGAGUCCAUUAUUUUUUCGUUUAUUAAUAGCAUUCUUGUUUUGUUUUUUUUUGUUUUUUUACCAUGAAUAAAAGAAACCAGAACAUUGCGCUAGUUUUCACAAUUUAAUAAAAAAAAAUACUUAUCAUUUCAUACCAGCAAAGAACCUCUGGAUCUCUGGAUCACAAUGCUCCUAUCCAAUUUUCCAUCAGGCUAUAUAAACCGUAUACAGCAGUCUUGGUGUAUAGUAUAGAGAGGUCAUCACUAGGCCUUUGCUGGAGGACUCUCCCGGAAAGCAACACAAAUAAGUUGACUCAACUUUCGAAACACAGCACAGACAGGAGAGGACAGUGGCUUUGAGUAAAAGCAAAGUAAAGGUAGAUAAGGAGUUUUCUAUGACGACUGUUUUUGUUCAUAGCUUUUUUUUUUUUUAGCUUUUUCUGAAAAGUACUUAGACCAGUGAUACCUAUCUGACCCCAUGCCUGGACUACUUCUGAUGUCUUUAAAAGGAGGCAGGAAAAGAAAAGAAAACACAAAAAUUACUUUAUAACAUAAGUCAAAAAGUCUAAUUUUUGCCUCUUUAACUCUCAGUUUCUCCUGCAAUGAUCUCCUCUCAAACUGCAUUAUUUUCCAAAAUUACUGAGCUUUCUUGCAGCACUGAUUGCUUCCUCUGUGACUCUAGCCUCUAACUUCUUCUCUUAGGUUCAACAACUCUUGAUUUUUUUAAAGAAACUGUUCUUUAACUUGGCGGGGGAAUGGGUUUGUUUGUGUACCAUGCUUGUUUCAAUGCUUUCUGCAGCUGCUAUAACAGAGUCACUGACAGUUCAUCGUCUUUGCAGGGUACAAGAAGUGGAGUUGAGGCUCAGCGAUUUGGACACAAGGAAUAGACCUUUUGAAGUCCAGGACACAAGGUAAUGGUUAUAUUAUGUACAUAUAACAUGGCAACAACAAGUUUGAUAGAAAUUGGCCCAAAAGUACAAACAUUUUACAAACCAGUAGCUCAUGGUGUUGUAUUGUUUACACUUGACCAAAAUUACCCUUUUCACACUGAUUGAACUUGAUUUGUGAGAUGUUUGUUUGGGUAAUAAAUUGACACAAACUAGAGAAAGCUCAGCACGAGUCAGCAGUAUUUACUGUAUUGCUUGCAGACUUUUUGUAGUACAAAGAACAGCACUACAACAAGGAAAGACUCAUAAAAAUAGCCAGAGCAUUCAGCUGCUUAAAGUUAAUCAAUAACAACAAGGGAGAGAAAGACUAUAUCUUUUUGUGUAGUUAGAGCGCAUCACUAGUAAGCAAAACCAUCCAAAUCUUGUUUUUUUUUUUUUGCACCUUGUUUUGUACAUUAUAAUACUUACACAGAGAGUCCAAGUCAUAUGAACAAUAAGUCCUUUCACUAAUUUCUCCUCUCAAUGACUUUAUAAGUGAACAGCUCAUGCAUCAUUCUUCUCAUUGACUAAUGUCCCGCUUCAUUUUGUCCUUUCUGCUUUGCCGUCGCCCGCCGUGCAACACUGAUUAAUGCCAUCACAGCAAAUUAGAUAGCCCAGGAACAACAUGUUUAUCAUUUUCAAGCAUUAAGAAAAGUACUUUCCUGGUUCAUUCCCUUCAGUGCUUUCAAAGCAGGGGGAACAUCAGGGUGAUGUAUGUAUGUACUGUAUAGAGGGGGAAAUAUUAAUUGGGAAAUAGCCAGAGAUGUGGCCUUUCUUCUAAAGGUUGUGAGACAGAGGACAAGAGCUGAGAGUGAGUUACCUUCAAAGUAAUGGUGUCAUUUUUUACACUAUACUCUCACUUCUUCUGUGUUGGCUGAUUUGAACAGCGGACAGGAUUUUUUUUUAAGCUCUCAGCUGAAAUCUUUUUGCUCUGAGAUUUGUUGGUUGAUGAAAUUGUUUAUAUUUAUUGCAUCAGUAGUUUAAUAUCAAACAUAUAUAUCUGCAGGUUGUAGGAGGAGAAUGUAACCUCUUGGUCUGCUUUGAACCUGGAGCUUUUUGAUGGCCAAUCGUGGGCACCUCCACUGUGAACCACUGUCUGUGUAACGUAUGACAACAAUGAUGAUGGCAUGUGGGAGAACCUGUGAGGUUUUUGGCUACUCUAUCAGUUGUGAGAAACUUUGUUAAUACUAAACAACACAAAAGCCUGAAUUUGUUUACAUUGUAGAGACUUUUGCAAACACCACCUCAACCAUUACCUUGUUGGCCUGGUUGCACGCUAUUUUAUUUACAGUUACUUUUGCAGAUCCCAUGCAUGCAGAUCCCUUUGUCAUGUGAACUUGGAUUUUUUUUUUUUUUUUUUAGACCAAAGGGAAAGAUUUUUCUGUGUUUUGAUGGGACUUUUCUUCUGGACCAAAUACAGUCAUCAACUGUUAAUUGAUUCAUAUAAUCAUCAUAUCAUAUUGUUACAUUACAUAGCACUACAUCAUAUAUGUUACGGAUAUAGUCGAUUACACUCUCUGUCUCCUCAUAUUGUUACCCUAUUAAAAUAAUGGCCUAAGUCAUUUUUUGACGAAAAUGAGUUUUGGCCUAAAUCGUCUCUUGAUAAUGGAGAUGAUUGAUGGAGAUGAUGAUAGAAAAUUGGGGGAAAUUUUGAUUUUGUACAGAGAGAAAUUUAAAAAACCAACCCUUUACGACCCAUUGACAUGUUAACCCCUUCGUUCGAGUAGCGAUGUUAUUUUAUUUUAAGAGGCUAACAGGAAACUGCAAUAGCAGCGUGAAAACCUUGCUGGCCAUUGAGUUACAAUAGCAGCCUCAGGUAUUGACAGAAAGACAGCAAGCACUCAGAUAUUCUCAUAUCAUUUUCAUCCUCAUAUCAUGCUGUGAACGUAGCCUGGCAUUGGUAUGUUCUUACCCAAUGUUCCCUCUCCCAGGCUGUAUAUCACAUCAUAAAGAAUACAUAAACCCCUCUCCAAAAAAAAAAACCUACCCAGUCUCCAAGGCAUCAGUGCUGAGCCCUGUUCUGCACCGAAAAGAGCUCAAACAAAGAACUUUCCUUGGAAAGAAAAAGAAGAAAAACAACAUCCCUCAAACAAAACAAAAAAAAUCUAGAGACAAUGCUAAUAACUGUAAAAUAUGAAUGGUGACUUGACAUAUUUGCAAAUGCGCUGAGAGGCGCCCUACUAAACGCGAUGAUAUGGGAAACCAAUGGCAUGGAAGAAAGCGGUUGUGGGCCCCCAUCUCUCGCCAUUAGAUGUUCAGUGGAAGCUGUCAACAGAAGGCGCAUUUGCCUGCCAAGCUCCCUCUCUGACUGAGCUCUGUGCCUGCAGCACGCCCCGAGCUCCUCUUUGACUCAAAGGCUUCAUUUCACUUCUUUUAGCCUCAUUCGCAUGUGCUGCUACACAAAAACCCGGCUUGCUCGCAGCCUGCCUCUCGUGUGUGUGUGUGUGUGUGUGUGUGUGUGUGUGUGUGUACUGCUUUGUGUCCAUUUUACUGUGUUUCCGUGUGUUUGUCCAUGACUGUGUGUGAGAGUUUUGUACAAGUGCACGUGUACAUGCAUGUGUGUGUAAAUCACAAGGUGAUGCCGCUCUGACAGCCAAAAAGCCACAGUGACAGAAACACAGAAAGAGACCAGAGGGCACAGUCCAUCAUUAUCAUUUUCUGCCCAUAUUAGCAUAAAGCUAGCUCUAUAUAUCCAGGAAACACUUUCAGCUCGAACUUCCUGUGACAUACUGUAGGUUUCUAUAGCAGCUAAAUAAAUGUCUCUGUGUAAUCCAGCUUCUGGAUCAGGCCACCUGAAAAAAAUCAUGAGUCAUCAUUUACAUGGGUGAUAUGUUCAGCACUGUCCCCUGAGGUUGUCAACUAGAAACGGUUUCACUUUGGAUUGUCACAACCCAAAAAAGAGUGCUAAACUACCUUCAACAACACACACAGUUUGUACACAUCCUGUAGUGUCAAUGCUACUGCAUCACAGUCAGUAUGAAGAGUAACUUCAUUAAGUUCAUUAGUAGUUAGUUCGAAAACUUUUUCAGACUAGGUAGGAUUUUCUUUGUAUCAAAAAAUAUACCAAUGAAAAUAAAUGAAUGAAUAAAUAAUGUGUUCAAAAGAAAGAGAGAAAAAACAACAGUAUGUGUAAAACUAACAAGACUCAUACAGCAAAGCCCAAAGUUAACAGCUUUAAUUAUCAGAUCAAGGUUGUUGUAAUAAAAUAAUAUUUUUAAAAAACUUGCACUCUUGAAGAAUUUCAGGGACAGUGUGAGUUGGGGCUUUGUAUCCUUUAAGUAAGAGAAAAUCGUUUUCAAGAAAAGGAUAAUGUAUAGCAGGGGUCCCUAUCCUUCAGACCUUAGACAAGUGAAAGCCCUUUGGUCAUUUCAAACCAGACUGUGAAAGCCCAUUCAAGAACCAGAGGGAGGAUGUAAUUGUCAUAUCCUACUGCAUUUUGUUUUGUUGAUUCGAUAUCUCAAGCCAAAUUAUACUCAAUUCAAGUUAAAAUCAACUUUGUUUUUACUAGUUGUAUUUAAACAAAAGUGUCAAUAUGAAAUAAAAACAUCUUAUUUAUUAUUUGGUUAAAGCCGUAUGGGCUUUGCAGAGUGAGAAGUCAUUGCCAAUUUGUUGCUAUGCCAGUGAGUAAGGAAAAAAAAAAGAUGGGCAAGAUUAACAAGUUUUUUUACUGGCGUUCAAGGAAAAUUCCUUGGCUCUGUGAGGAUAUCAGAGACACAAAGAAGUACAAAAUUUGACCAAAGUGAGGAGAGCCAUGUAAAAUUAAGUUUUAUUACUUAACAGCAGGUUAGAUGUUAGAAACACUGUCACUCACUCAUAAACACCUCAUUGGAGCCGCUAAUGUGGUUUUGAUUUUUAGAGCUCAGGUUGUAUUAUGUUUCUACUGUGCUUCAUAUAUAUUGAAAUGAUAGUCAUGGGGGAUUCCCAUGAGAUGUCCACCCUACAGGUCCAUCAGAAAUAUGACAGGGUUAGCAAGACUCUGAUUUGCAGUGGAGUCUUCUCUUUGGAGCUUUGGGCUUGGUUAAUAAGUGCAGGGUUAUAAAAAAAAUAUGUUGUCGCUAGUAUCAACAGGAUAAGAAAACAGAACUUCAUCUUGAAAAAUAAAUUUUCGUGCAUCAAAAGUUCUCCGUCAAGAAGUUGUUCAUACCGGGAAAUAAUGCUUGAAAUGGUUAAUUCUGUAAAGUUUUAGAAAGAAAUUGAAAUAAAGAGUUCAAGCGUUGGAGUGAGUAUUUUAUAUUUACUUUUUUAUGAGUAUAGUUGAGUCAUCAAUUUUUUUGAGACUUUUCAUUUUUUAUAUGAGCUCAAAUAGCCUAAAAAAUAUGACAAAGAUUUAGUUGAAUUAGGAAUUAAGACUACUUAAGCCAUUAUCUGGAGAACAGGUAGUAGUUUCCUGUGAAGUGUUUGACUUCCUAACACAGGCUGUCCUCUGGCCCGUCUGUCUUUGGCUAGCAGCCUGAGGGUCGGACCAGUGGAGUGGAAGUUGAAGAGGGCUGUUUGAAUGUAAUAGGUUUUGACUGGCAUGUGUUACAUGCUUCACUGCACCAUUGAUUGAGCGCUUGUUUGCUAAAUCACUGCUGGUUUCCUCUGUCUGGUAGGCCUGUGACACGUGUGGUGUGUGUGGUCACUUCUGCAGGGUGGAGGGAAAGAGAAGAGCUGGUGCAACCCCGGUGACUCAGAGAGGACAGAAGUUAAAAAUGACACAAAGAAAAGGUGGAAAAAUAGACGCAGACAGAAGAUGAUUGAACCUCUUGACCUCUUUUUUCUUGAACUCACCUAAUCAGGAAUCAACUUAUCCCCAAAUCUUGGCACUGAGGUCUCUUCUUUCACGGACACUCACAAUAACACCCCUCCUCCCCCUCCUCCUCUACCUCUCGACCAUUUCACUCCUCCUCUGCCCCCACCUCCCCUGUUUUAGACAUGCUUUUUACAGCUUGAAGGAUGUGGCAGAGGAGGGAGGGUGGUGUCAUGGGUCAAUGUCACUCAGCUUGGUCCACUCAGCGGAUGACUGAAGGGAGAUGUCUUGAUGGCUGAUUUUGCCUUUCGCCAUUUUUAAAGCUAAACAGCUGACCAGAUAAACGUAAAACUACAAAAAAA
rnacentral:lncRNA from 1 species